rnacentral:lncRNA from 1 species
GGAAAUUUGUCUAUUGAUCUACAGCAAAAAGAAUCAACGCAAAGUCAUGUUUCUGUGAAUUACUAAAAUUAUUUUUGUGCGUGCAAAGUUUCUGUUUUUCAGCAGAAUCAAAUUAACUAUCACCAUAGGUUAUCCUAUAGGUUCUACUAGGCACAAACACUAACUAAAACGUAAAAACACAUCUAAACAGAAGGUAGAUGCAAAAUUUAUUACUAAACAAAAACAAAAACAAAAAACACAAAUAAAAAUGGGUUGCCUCCCAACUAGCGCUAUCGUUUAACGCCCCUAGCUAGGCAUAAAAGCGAUGAUAGAUCUAAGUAGUGCCAUAAUAAUAAGAUAGAUCAUGAAAACUCAUCUCAUAUUCUCUACGUUCAGCAGAAAGUUUUCUUUGAGGCAAGCAAAAGUAAUCAAAAGGGCUAAAUUUAACGGGACAAAAGUCCCCAAGAUCAAUCUCAGGAGGUAUGGGUUCCUCCUUUGGCCCUUCAUAUUGCACAACUAAUUCAUCAUUAUAAGCAUUCUUUUGGCAGAACUUCGUGAGCCUAUACUCAAGAGAGUAUCCCAACUCAUUGUUUCAAAGAGCAAAAUCAUUAUUAAGUUCGGAAAUUCUAUCAACUAGGACCUUGGUAGGAACCUUUUUUCUAAGGUUUUCAUUAAAAGCAACAUAGUCCAAAGAUUGAAAAUGCCUAAUUUCCUCCUGAUCAAAGAGGAGCGCCUCUAUGGGAGGACGACCGGCGUCCACCCUAUAGUGCGCAAAGAUUUCUUUGGCCUCUCUUAUGAUAAAUAUAAACUCAUGAGCCAAAAAGAUAGUAGCGGCGCGCUUAACAGAAGAAUGCUCAAUGUCAGAAAAUUCCAGGAAAAUUCUUUAUAUGCAAGGAUGCAUAUGCAUAAAUUGUCUUUCAAGCUCAACUACAAGCAUAGCGAUAGCAUCCGCAAGACUACUAGUUCUAUGAAGAAUAGAACCACCCAUAGAAGGUAAAGCACCAGCACAAGUAAAGAAAUCUUGAAUAACCCCUUUUCCAAUAAUAUUACCGCUACCGAUUCUAAACUUUUUAGUGUGAAAAAUAGGGGGUUCUUUAGUAGGAGCAUCAGAAUUUUCCAUGUUAUCAUUAAUGUCCAUAUCAACGACAAUCUCCCCAAUUUCAGACAUAACAGCAAACAAAAGCGAGGGAGAAGAAGAGGGCGAAUAAAACGGCAAGGGUGAAGUGGGGGAGAGGAAAACGAGAGGCAAAUGGCAAUUAAUUUAAAUGCGAGGGAGAUGAGUUUGUGAUGGGUACUUGGUAUGUCUUGACUUGAGCGAAGACCUCCCCGGCAACGGCGCCAGAAAUCCUUCUUGCUAUGUCUUGAGCUUGCUUUGGUUUUCCUUGAAGAGGAAAGGGUGAUGCAGCAAUAGUAGUGUAAGUAUUUCCCUCAGUUUUUGAGAACCAAGGUAUCAAUCCAAUAGGAGGCUCCUCAAAAUUCCCACGCACCUACACAAACAAACAAGAACUCGCAACCAACGCGAUAAAGGGGUUGUCAAUCCCUUCACGACCACUUGUGAAAGUGAGAUCUGAUAGAGAUAAUAUGAUAAGAUAAAUAUAUUUUUGGUAUUUUAUAAUAUAUACUGGAAAAGUAAAGAUGCAAAUAAAAGUAGAUUGAAAACUUAUAUGAUAAAAGAUAGACCCGGGGGCCAUAGGUUUCACUAGUGGCUUCUCUCAAGAUAGCAUAAGUAUUAUGGUGGGUGAACAAAUUACCGUCGAGCAAUUGAGAGAAAAGCGAAUAAUUAUGAGAUUAUCUAGGCAUGAUCAUGUAUAUAGGCAUCACGUCCAUGACAAGUAGACCGACUCCUGCCGGCAUCUACUACUAUUACUCCACACAUCGACCGCUAUCCAGCAUGCAUCUAGAGUAUUAAGUUCAUAAAGAACAGAGUAACGCAUUAAGAAAGAUGACAUGAUGUAGAGGGAUAAACUCAUGCAAUAUGAUAUAAACCACAUCUUUUUAUCCUCGAUGGCAACAAUACAAUACAUGCCUUGCUGCCCCUACUGUCACUGGGAAAGGACACCGCAAGAUUGAACCCAAAGCUAAGCACUUCUCCCAUUGCAAGAAAGGUCAAUCUAGUAGGCCAAACCAAAUUGAUAAUUCGAAGAGACUUGCAAAGAUAACUUAAUCACACAUAAAAGACUUCAGAGGAGAUUCAAAUAUUUCUCUUAGAUAAACUUGAUCAUAAACCCACAAUUCAUCGGAUCUCGACAAACACACCGCAAAAAGAGUUACAUCGAAUAGAUAUCCAAGAAGAUCAAGGAGAACAUGGUAUUGAGAUCCAAAGAGAGAGAAGAAGUCAUCUAGCUAAUAACUAUGGACCCGAAGGUCUAUGGUAAACUACUCACAACGCAUCGGAGAGGCUAUGCUGUUGAUGUAGAAACCCUCCAUGGUCGAUUCCCCCUCCGGCGGAGCACCGACGAAGGCUCCAAGAUGGGAUCUCGCGGAUACAGAAGGUUACGGUGGUGGAAAUAGUUUUUCGUGGUCGCCUCUGAUGUUCUCAGGGUAUGUGGGUAUAUAUAGGAGGAAGAAGUAGGUCGGUGGAUGCCUGAGGGGCCCACGAGAUAGGGGGCGUGCCCAGUAGGGGGGCGUCCUCCACCCUCGUGGCCUCCUCGAUUGCUUCUUGACUUGCACUCCAAGUCCUCUGGAUCUCGUUUGUUCCACAAAGAUCGCCCCCGAAGGUUUCAUUCCGUUUGGACUCUGUUUAAUAUUCCUUUUCUUCGAAACACUGAAAUAGGCAAAAAAAACAGCAAUACGGGCUAGGUCUCCGGUUAGUAGGUUAGUCCCAAAAAUGAUAUAAAAGUGUAAAGUGAAGCCCAUAAACAUCCAAAAUGGGUACUAUAAUAGUAUGGAACAAUCAAAAAUUAUAGAUACGUUGGAGACGUAUCAAAGGCCGGCUCAUGCUAUGGUGGGCCGGCUUAAGAGAAAAGGCAUAAGGAAUAUUCUCCUACAAAAGGAAGCAAGACUAGGACUUCACUUGUAAUAGAGUAAUUCUAAUCCUACUAGGACUAGUCAUGUAACCCGCCCCCCAACUUAUAUAAGGAGGGGCAGGGCACCCCAAGAGGGACAAGAAAGAAAUAAUCUCUAGGGCUAGACCCAACUAGAAGAGAGCCGGCUUACCGGCGACUCCCUCGUGAGCAUAAUGAGACCUAGCCACAAACAACAAGUCGGGCCUUUACCGGAUGAUGUUUCCUGGGGCCCGAAGCUGUCUAAAUCCUUGUCUUGUGUGUUGCAUCUCUCAAUUCCGCCCAAACCCUCUCAAGCUACCGCAUAGAUGCGUUGGCCUCGCGACUAAGUCCUCACACUAAGGACAUUUCGCGUGACAAUUCAACGAUAGUUGGUGCCCACCGUGGGGCUUGCGCACGGUGGUGUUAAGUUCUUGGAGGGAUCUCUCUAAGGGGUCGAGAAGUUUGCAAUUGAUUAGACGAAGAAGAUUCAAGAAAUUAGGGUUGCAUUAGGUGUGCUGUCACACAGUCGCCGAGUUAACGAAACCGACAGGCGAAGCAAUCAAAAGUUAGAUAAAGUCUUUUUGAGCGCUUGCGCGUCGGUGAGACCGACAGGACUUUCGUCAAAGCGUCACCAUGAUUCGGGAACACGAACAUAUUUUUCAGUCCAUAAUGGCCGUAUUACAGGGUCGCUUCAAAUCCACAUGCAAAAGAAAAGCAGAAAAGGAAGAAUAGACAGUCCACGGAUAGUCAUCGAGACGAACAGACUUCUAAAAAGACGCAUCAAAUCUGAGACCUGCGUGGUCGAGUCGCUGUCACCGCCUUUGUCUAUGCGGGAUUCCGUCUCGAUCCCCGCGGCCAAAUCCCUAGGCCACGCCGGAGAGCUGCCUGUUGUUUUUUAUUUGUCAUCACCGCCAAGCGCGGCUGGAUUUUUCUUGUUGCGGCACAUGCGCUGCAAUAACCGGGUCAGAUGUUGUUCACGAGAAGAUAAAGUUUCCGAAAAACAAACAUCUUCCGCUGCUAUUCCCUAGCAUGAUGACCGGAGACUGUAAAUUAAUUGGCAAGUACGUUUAUACGUAUGAGCAAAUACUAUUUCUCAAUGGCCAGAGUCACGUUUGAUCUGUUUACAAGAUCUAGAUGGAAGAAAACUCAAAGUUGAACCAGCCAGAAGGGAAUACGGACUCGGACUAUUCCACCGCUUGUGCCCCCGCUGCGCCUUCGGAACGGGCCGCUUGCCUCGUCGCGCCCGCGGCGACUGGCUGCCUGCGAUUCGCCUAUGUCUUCUGAUGUCUACUACACAACUUUCUACUUGUCGACGUUGUUGGGCCUCCAAGUGCAGAGGUUUGUAGGACAGUAGCAAAUUUCCCUUAAGUGAAUGGCCUAAGUUUAUCAAUCCAUGGGAGGCGUAGGAUGAAGAUGGUCUCUCUCAAACAACCCUACAACCAAAUAACAAAAAGUCUCUUGUGUCCCCAACACAGCCAAUACAAUGGUAAAAAUUGUAUAGAUGCACUAGUUCAGCGAAGAGAUGGUGAUACAAGUGCAAUGUGGAUGGUAGAUAUGAGUAUUUGUAAUCUGAAAAUAUAAAAACAGCAAGGUAACUAAUGAUAAAAGUGAGCACAAAUGGUAUUGCAAUGCUAGGAAACAAGGCCCAGGGUUCAUACUUUCACUAGUGCAAGUUCUCUCAAGAAUAAUAACAUAAUUGGAUCAUAUAACUAUCCCUCAACAUGCAACAAAGAGUCACUCCAACGACACUAAUGGCGGAGAACAAACGAAGAUAUUAUGGUAGGGUACGAAACCACCUCAAUGUUAUCCUUUCUGUUCUAUCUAUUCAAGAGUCCGUAGUAAAAUAACAUGAAGCUAUUCUUUCCGUUCAAUCUAUCAUAGAGUUCAUACUAAAAUAACACCUUAAGACAUAAAUCAACCAAAACCCUAAUGUCACCUAGAUACUCCAUUGUCACCUCAAGUAUCCAUGGACAUGAUUAUACGAUAUGCAUCACACAAUCUCAGAUUCAUCUAUUCAACGAACACAAAGAACUUCAAAGAGUGCCCCAAAGUUUCUACCGGAGAGUCAAGAGGAAAACGUGUGCCAACCCUGAUGCAUAGGUUCAUUAAACCCGCAAGUUGAUCACCAAAACAUACAUAAAAUAGAUCACAUGAAUAUCCCAUUGUUACCACAGAUAAGCACGGCAAGACAUACAUCAAGUGUUCUCAAAUCCUUAAAGACCAAUCCGAAAAGACAACUUCAAGAGGAAAACUCAAUUCAUCACAAGAGAGUAGAGGGGGAAGAACAUCAUAAGAUCCAACUAUAAUAGCAAAGCUCGUCAUACAUCAAGAUCGUAUCACCUCAAGAACACAGGAGAGAGAGAGAAAGAUCAAACACAUAGCUACUGGUACAAACCCUCAGCCCCGAGGGUGAACUACUCCCUCCUCAUCAUGGAGAGCAUCAGGAUGAUGAAGAUGGCCACCGGUGAUGGGUUCCCCCUCUGGCAGGGUGCCGGAACGGGCUCCCGAGAGGUUUUUGGUGGCUAUCGAGGCUUGCGGCGGCGGAACUCCCGAUCUAUUCGGUUCCCCGAUGUUUUUAGGGUAUAAGGAGAUAUAUAGGCGAAAGAAGUCGGUCAGGGGAGCCACGAGGGGCCCACGAGGGUGGGGGCACGCUCAGGGGAGGUGGGCGCGCCUCCCUGCCUCGUGGCCACCUCAAAGCUUCCCUGACGUGCACUCCAAGUUCCCUGGAUUGCUUCCGUUCCAAAAAUAACUUUCCUGAAGGUUUCAUUCCGUUUGGACUCCGUUUGAUAUUUUUUUUCUUCGAAACACUGAAAUAGGCAAGAAAACAACAAUAUGGGCUGGGCCUCCGGUUAGUAGGUUAGUCCCAAAAAUAAUAUAAAAGUACUUAGUAAAGCCCAUAAACAUCCAAAACAGAUAAUAUAAUAGCAUGAAUGCUUCAUAAAUUAUAGAUACGUCGGAGACGUAUCACCGUAGCGCGUUGAACCGCCAUGCCUGGUCGUUUACUCCUCCGGCACUAUCGUAUCUCAAGCAUCCUCCUUCGACUCGACCUGGCCCUGCGCCACCCUCGCUGGAGUAGUUUUUGAGCCGCCGCCUUGCUUCUGGGUGCCGACCUGCAUCAAGCUGUUGUUCCGGCCUCUCCUGCAGCCAUCUCCGUUUGACGCGCCACCGCGAGCCGCCGCUGGAGAGCCGCCUCGCGCCUCUAGUCUUCCCCGCGACGAGCCGUCGCUGAAAAACCAUCUUUGAAAUACAGUGGUCGCCACAAGCUGCCGACCUCAUCCCCACGCCAGCUCAAUGCUCCGGUUCAGUCGUGUUUUGCCGAGAGCUGCUGCCAUAUCUCCAUCUGAACGUUCUACCGCAUGAGCCAGUGUCACGUGCCUCCUCACACUCACCCCAGCGUUUUUGCCAUGUGCCUGUGCUGCCUCUGUGGCCGCGCGCUACCUUCCAGCAUGCUGUUCCAUAAACCUCCGCGUUGACCUCUUUAUAUAAUCGUCUUGUCAUCGUGUUGCCUUGCUCUGCCUUUACAAGCCGCCAAUACAACCAUGGGAAAUAAGCAUGAGGUGAUCUCAUACAUAACUUCAGUGGUGGUGUUCUGAAGAAAUUGCUUGACAAGGUGAUGGUUCAGAUGGACUAAUACAAGGGGAUAUGGAUGCGCCUUGGGGUUAUUCAAUGUUGCCUGAUGAGUGGACAACUGACAAGGGUAUCGUGGCAUUAUAAGGCGCGCUGUUUGAGUCAUUGCAGUACUAUCCACUGUCGCCAUAAGUCGCCAGUUGCCGCUCUGUCUCUGUUGGUCUUCAUUAUAUGCUGCAAGAGAAAGGGAAUUAUUUUGUCGGUAAUGACUACAGUGCUGUGAUUAAUCCCCUUUUGCAAGGAGAGGGGCUAAAUCGCCGUUGCAAAUACCAAAGGUUGUUCAUAAAACGGAAAAUCCGUCAUCCGAACAAUCAGGUGAUAUCUAUCCGUUUAAGUUUAUUUUAUUUAAACAUAUAUAUAUUGCUUUUUGUCAAAGAAUAAUUACUUUGGCUUGCGAUGUUUUUGAUGCAGGACAAUUAUUCACUACAUCAACGUGACGUGGUUGACUCGCCCAUCUGCGCGGCUUACUGCGCCUGUGGUAGACUCGCCCGCCUGCACCAGUUUACAAUGCUGCGACCGACUCAUCUGUCUGUACCGCCUUUGAUACUACGGCCGUCUUUACCGUCUGUCUCUCGCGGCCUGGUCUAUAUCAACAUACCGGGCCACAUAUGUUUGCAUGAGCUGUUUAUUGAGUAUGAGCAAGUCACUGCUUGGGUAGCCCGGUUUUCUUCCAACAACUUGGAGGCAAAUUAUCAUGUAUUAUCAGCCGCCGUCUACACCGGACGGCUCAAUGGGCAGGUGCACAAGUCGCCGCCACUACAGUUCGGUUAACUUCAAACAUCCAGUUGGAAGGGACCAUUGGCCGAGUUGCUGACACGGCUCAUACGGGAUCAUUUAUAACCCGCCGUAGUCACCUCAACAUUCUGUGGAUUCGCAUCACGCUAUCAACACCAAUGAUAUACACCUUCUGCUAUGGUCAAAUAUGGAGAAUCUCAAAGACAACUCCUCGAGCCGCCUUGAGACUCGGGGGCUACAUGGACAUGGUUCAGUAAAUGUUGCCAGUUUAAAGGCCGUCGGAAAAUUUCCGGCUCAAAAUGAAGAAUUCCAGUUCAAAAUCCGGUUCAAGAGAAAUUUUUCUCUCACAAAGAUUUGAAAGCUCUCAAUAUCCGGUUUAAAAUCUGGCUCAAGAAGAAUUUAUAUCUCGCAAAGCUCAAGUUCUCAGUAAAAAUUAAAGGGACCAAAGAGAGUCUGUUGCAAAGCACAACUCAAACAUAGGUACCCCGCUUCAAUGACCGUUGGGGACUGAUCGUAUUCAAAUCUAGCUUAACCCCUUUUUGGUCCGACCCUGAUCGUAUUAGAAUCAGAGUCGUUAAAUAUUCUCAAGGUCACUUGGGGGCUUCCGUUUCAAACAUAGGUCGUAUUCGAACCAAAGAGAACAUAGCUGUCAGUACCCUCUUGAUCGACACAACGCCAAACUCACUAGGGGGCUACUUGAUCGUAUUCGAAUCAUAGCUUAACCUCUUUUGGGUACGACUUUCAUCGUAUUCGAAUCAGAGUCGUUAAAAAACUCUCAAGGUCAUUUGGGGGUUUCCUGUUCAAACAUAGGUUGUAUUCGAACCGAAGAGAACAUAGUUGUCGGUAUCCUCUUGAUCGGCGCAACGCCAAAGCCAUUGGGGGCUACAUGAUUGUAUUAGAAUCCUAGCUUAACCCCUUUGAAACGGUUUACUGAUCGUAUUCGAAUCAGAAGCCUCGAUUUUUCUUUCUAUUUGGCUUAAGUUUUUUGAACACAAUCUUUGAUUUUGUCUUGAGACUUUUUUGUUCAGAAUCUAAGUAUAAGUGUGGUUUAAAUUUAACCCGGCUUGACUUCGGAUGAUAAGUCGCCAGCAUAUGACAAUCAUAAACAUUUGGAAGUUUUGGCUUCUAAAAAGAUUGGGUUAUCACCCUUACUGCAUAGGUAUCAUAAGCCGGCAGUACGAUUCAAUAUCAUAGGUAUGAUAUUGUUUAUACAUUAUUAUGUUUAAAUCGGCCCUGGCUAUGGACUUUAAGUCACCGAUCUAUUUUGGAUUGCGCCAUUGGAAUCAUGUGCUUAUCAAUCAUUGGAUUAUUGCCCUUACUGGAUACAGAGAUGUAAGCCGGCCGGCAGUAUGAGCCAAUUUCUACAGGUAUGUUUUCCUGAUUAUAUAAAUAUGCAAGGUUAGAUAACCCGCCCUAGCUUUUGUCGUUAAGUCUCCAAUAUGUUUAGGAUUGAAUGGCCUUAAUCCUAGUCUUUUUCAUAAUUGGAUAAAGAGUAUAUUAUGUUUGGGUUGUUACCUGCCCUGGUUUUGAAGUUCAAUCGCCAGGGCAUAUGUUGUUGCAGGAUUUGCAGAAAUAUGACUUAUAUAAAUGAUUAAGUUCAAGCUCAUCAUCAAAAUUGAUGCUUCAAAAUGAUUAUCCGUUCUGGAUUUUCUCAAAGGCUAUAAGCCGCCGGGUUAUAAAAAUUCCGGCUUACGAUGGAGGUGUAUUAUAUCGCCAUCGGCCAAGAGCCGCCGGGUAUAUAAACUCCAGAUUUACUUGUCAAACAGAUAAGGUAUUCAAAGUUGCUUUGGCGCAAUGGCUAUUAUUUUAUCAAUGGAUAUGAUUUAUUUUACAAUGGAUGGAAUAGUCCCGAGUCGCUGCAGGCUUAGGAUCCGUCACUUGGGGGCUACAUUAUUCAAGUUGAGAUUAUAUCAAAUAUGCAAGUCCCAUGUCACCGCCAGCAUGUUUAUUAAGCCGGAGCUUUGGAAACCGACUCAAAUGGAUUAUUUCUUAUAAUAUUUCUCUACAAGAAACUAAUGUUAGCAAAUUGAUUAUGAAGCUGGUCUAUUGACCCAGAUUUUUUCAGAAGAAGUAUCUGGAUUUUUUGCAUUGAUAAAGUUGAGACAUAUAUGCUAAGGAAGAUUUGCUAUGAGAUCAUUGACAUGUAUAUAUCAACAAGGAAAUGACAAGGACUUAACGAUGAUCAAAUGCCAGCUCAGAAGAACCUUCGACCCGGCGUAUUAUCUUUGAAAGUUGAUCUUGUUUUCAGGAUAAGUUUACCAUGGAUAAAUCCAAGCUAAACUAGGGGCUAAUGUUGGGAAACGUAGUAAUUUCAAAAAAAUUCCUACGCACACGCAAGAUCAUGGUGAUGGCAUAGCAACGAGAGGGGAGAGUGUUCGUCCACAUACCCUCGUAGACCGUAAGCGGAAGCGUUAACGCGGUUGAUGUAGUCGUACGUCUUCACGAUCCGACCGAUUCAAGCACCGAACGUACGGCACCUCCGAGUUCAGCACACGUUCAGCUCGAUGACGAUCCCCGGGCUCCGAUCCAGCAAAGCUUCGGGGAUGAGUUCCGUCAGCACGACGACAUGGUGACGAUGAUGAUGUUCUACCGGCGCAGGGCUUUGCCUAAACUCCGCGACGAUAUGACCGAGGUGGAAUAUGGUGGAGGGGGGGCACCGCACACGGCUAAGGAACGAUCCGUAGAUCAACUUGUGUGUCUAUGGGGUNNNNNNNNNNNNNNNNNNNNNNNNNNNNNNNNNNNNNNNNNNNNNNNNNNNNNNNNNNNNNNNNNNNNNNNNNNNNNNNNNNNNNNNNNNNNNNNNNNNNNNNNNNNNNNNNNNNNNNNNNNNNNNNNNNNNNNNNNNNNNNNNNNNNNNNNNNNNNNNNNNNNNNNNNNNNNNNNNNNNNNNNNNNNNNNNNNNNNNNNNNNNNNNNNNNNNNNNNNNNNNNNNNNNNNNNNNNNNNNNNNNNNNNNNNNNNNNNNNNNNNNNNNNNNNNNNNNNNNNNNNNNNNNNNNNNNNNNNNNNNNNNNNNNACUCCUACUAGGAGGGGGAAGGAAGGGGGAGAGGGGGAAGGAAAGGGGGGGCGCCGCCCCCCCCCCCCUCCUAGUCCAAUUCGGACCAGAGGGGGGAGGGGGCGCGCGGCCCAUGCUGGCCGCCCCUCUCUCCUUUCCCCUAAGGCCCAUAAGGCCCAAACUCUACCGGGGGGUUCCGGUAACCCCCCCGGCACUCCGGUUUUCUCCGAAACUACCCGGAACACUUCCGGUGUCCGAAUAUAGUCGUCCAAUAUAUCAAUAUUUAUGUCUCGACCAUUUCGAGACUCCUCGUCAUGUCCGUGAUCACAUCCGGGACUCCGAACAAACUUCGGUACAUCAAAACUUACAAACUCAUAAUAAAACUGUCAUCGUAACGUUAAGCAUGCGGACCCUACCGGUUCGAGAACUAUGUAGACAUGACCUAGAACCAUUCUCGGUCAAUAACCAAUAGCGGGACCUGGAUGCCCAUAUUGGUUCCUACAUAUUCUACGAAGAUCUUUAUCGGUCAAACCGCAUAACAACAUAUGUUGUUCCCUUUGUCAUCGGCAUGUUACUUGCCCGAGAUUUGAUCGUCGGUAUCCAAUACCUAGUUCAAUCUCGUUACUGGAAAGUCUCUUUACUCGUUCUAUAACACAUCAUCUUAUAACUAACUCAUUAGUUACAAUGCUUGCAAGGCUUAGGUGAUGAGUAUUACCAAGAGGGCCCAGAGAUACCUCUCCGACAAUCAGAGUGACAAAACCUAAUCUCGAAUUAUGCCAACCCAACAUGUACCUUCGGAAACACCUGUAGAGAACCUUUAUAAUCACCCAGUUACGUUGUGACGUUUGGUAGCACACAAAGUGUUCUUCCGGUAAACGGGAGUUGCACAAUCUCAUAGUUGCGGGAACUUUGUAUAAGUCAUGAAGAAAGCAAUAGCAAUAUACUAAACGAUCAAGUGCUAGGCUAACGGAAUGGGUCAUGUCAAUCACAUCAUUAUCCUAAUGAUGUGAUCCCAUUAAUCAAAUGACAACACAUGUCUAUGGUUAGGAAACAUAACCAUCUUUGAUUAAUGAGCUAGUCAAGUAGAGGCAUACUAGUGACUUUAUGUUUGUCUAUGUAUUCACACAUGUAUCAUGUUUCCGGUUAAUACAAUUCUAGCAUGAAUAAUAAACAUUUAUCAUGAUAUGAGGAAAUAAAUAAUAACUUUAUUAUUGCCUCUAGGGCAUAUUUCCUUCAGUCUCCCACUUGCACUAGAGUCAAUAAUCUAGAUUACAUAGUAAUGAUUCUAACACCCAUGGAGUCUUGGUGCUGAUCAUGUUUUGCUCAUGAGAGAGGCUUAGUCAAUGGGUCUGCAACAUUCAGAUCCGUAUGUAUCUUGCAAAUCUCUAUGUCUCCCACUUGGACUUGGUCCCGAAUGGAAUUGAAGCGUCUCUUGAUAUGCUUGGUCCUCUUGUGAAAUCUGGAUUCCUUUGCCAAGGCAAUUGCACCAGUAUUGUCACAGAAGAUCUUCAUUGGUCCCGAUGCACUAGGUAUGACACCUAGAUCGGAAAUGAACUCCUUCAUCCAGACUCCUUCAUUUGCUGCUUCCGAAGCAGCUAUGUACUCCGCUUCACAUGUAGAUCCCGCUACGACGCUUUGUUUAGAACUGCACCAACUUACAGCUCCACAGUUUAAUAAAAACACGUAUCCGGUUUGCGAUUUAGAAUCGUCCGGAUCAGUGUCAAAGCUUGCAUCGACGUAACCGUUUAUGACUAGCUCUUUGUCACCUCCAUAUACGAGAAACAUAUCCUUAGUCCUUUUCAGGUAUUUCAGGAUGUUCUUGACCGCUGUCCAGUGAUCCACUCCUGGAUUACUUUGGUACCUUCCUGCCAAGCUUAUUGCUAAGCAUACGUCAGGUCUGGUACACAGCAUUGCAUACAUGAUAGAGCCUAUGGCUGAAGCAUAGGGAAUAUUUUUCAUUUUCUCUCUAUCUUCUUCUGUGGUCGGGCAUUGAGUUUGACUCAACUUCACACCUUGUAGCACAGGCAAGAAUCCUUUCUUUGCCUGAUCCAUUUUGAACUUUUUCAAAAUUUUGUCAAGGUAUGUGCUUUGUGAAAGUCCUAUUAAGUGUCUUGAUCUAUCUCUAUAGAUCUUGAUGCCCAAUAUGUAAGCAGCUUCACCGAGGUCUUUCAUUGAAAAACUUUUAUUCAAGUAUUCUUUUAUGCUAUCCAGAAAUUCUAUAUCAUUUCCAAUUAAUAAUACGUCAUCUACAUAUAAAAUUAGAAAUGCUACAGAGCUCCCACUCACUUUCUUGUAAAUAUAGGCUUCUCCAAAAGUCUGUAUAAAACCAUAUGCUUUGAUCACACUAUCAAAGCGUUUAUUCCAACUCCGAGAUGCUUGCACCAGUCCAUAAAUGGAAUGCUGGAGCUUGCACACUUUGUCAGCACCUUUUGGAUCAACAAAACCUUCCGGCUGCAUCAUAUACAACUCUUCUUCUAGAAAUCCAUUCAAGAAUGCAGUCUUGACAUCCAUUUGCCAAAUUUCAUAAUCAUGAAAUGCAGCAAUAGCUAACAUGAUUCGGACGGACUUAAGCAUCUCUACGGGUGAGAAAGUCUCAUCGUAGUCAACCCCUUGAACUUGUCGAAAACCUUUUGCAACAAGUCGAGCUUUAUAGACAGUUAUAUUACCAUCAGCGUCAGUCUUCUUCUUAAAGAUCCAUUUAUUCUCAAUGGCUUGCCGAUCAUCGGGCAAGUCAACCAAAGUCCAUACAUUGUUUUAAUACAUGGAUCCCAUCUCAGAUUUCAUGGCUUCUAGCCAUUUUGCAGAACCCGGGCUCAUCAUCGCUUCCUCAUAGUUUGUAGGUUCAUCAUGGUCAAGUAACAUGACUUCCAGAAUAGGAUUACCGUACCACUCUGGUGCGGAUCUUACUCUGGUAGACCUACGAGGUUCAGUAGAAACUUGAUCUGAAGUUUCAUGAUCAUUAUCAUUAGCUUUCUCACUAAUUGGUGUAGUUGUCACAGGAACCGGUUCUCGUGAUGAACUACUUUCCAAUAAGGGAGUGGAUACAGUUAUCUCAUCAAGUUCUACUUUCCUCCCACUCACUUCUUUCGAGAGAAACUCCUUCUUUAGAAAGGAUCCAUUCUUAGUAACGAAUGUCUUGCAUUCGGAUUUGUGAUAGAAGGUGUACCCAACAGUCUCUUUUGGGUAUCCUAUGAAGACACAUUUCUCCGAUUUAGGUUCGAGCUUAUCUGGUUGAAGUUUCUUCACAUAAGCAUUGCAGCCCCAAACUUUAAGAAACGACAACUUUGGUUUCUCGCCAAACCACAGUUCAUAAGGCGUCGUCUCAAGGGAUUUUGAUGGUGCCCUAUUUAACGUGAAUGCAGCCGUCUCUAAAGCAUAACCCCAAAAUGACAGCGGUAAAUCAAUAAGAGACAUCAUAGAUCGUACCAUAUCAAGUAAAGCACGAUUACGACGUUCGGACACACCAUUUCGUUGUGGUGUUCCAGGUGGCGUGAGUUGCGAAACUAUUCCACAUUGUUUCAAGUGUAGGCCAAACUCAUAACUCAAAUACUCUUCUCCACGAUCAGAUCGUAGAAACUUUAUUUUCUUGUUACGAUGAUUUUCCACUUCACUCUGAAAUUCUUUGAAUUUUUCAAAUGUUUCAGACUUGUGUUUCAUCAAGUAGAUAUACCCAUAUCUGCUCAAAUCAUCUGUGAAGGUGAGAAAAUAACGAUACCCGCCGCGAGCCUCAACAUUCAUUGGGCCACAAACAUCAGUAUGUAUGAUUUCCAACAAAUUAGUUGCUCGCUCCAUAGUUCCGGAGAUCGGCGUUUUGGUCAUCUUGCCCAUAAGGCACGGUUCGCAAGUACCAAGUGAUUCAUAAUCAAGUGAUUCCAAAAGUCCAUCAGUAUGGAGUUUCUUUAUGCGCUUUACACCGAUAUGACCCAAAUGGCAGUGCCACAAAUAAGUUGCACUAUCAUUAUUAACUCUGCAUCUUUUGGUUUCAACACUAUGAAUAUGUGUAUCACUACUAUCGAGAUUUAAUAAAAAUAGACCACUCUUCAAGGGUGCAUGACCAUAAAAGAUAUUACUCAUAUAAAUAGAACAACCAUUAUUCUCUGAUUUAAAUGAAUAACCGUCUCGCAUCAAACAAGAUCCAGAUAUAAUGUUCAUGCUCAACGCUGGCACCAAAUAACAAUUAUUCAGGUCUAAAACUAAUCCCGAAGGUAGAUGUAGAGGUAGCGUGCCGACCGCGAUCACAUCGACUUUGGAACCGUUUCCCACGCGCAUCGUCACCUCGUCCUUGGCCAGUGCUCGCUUAUUCCGUAGUCCCUGUUUCGAGUUGCAAAUAUUAGCAACAGAACCAGUAUCAAAUACCCAGGUGCUACUACGAGCUCUAGUUAGGUACACAUCAAUAACAUGUAUAUCACAUAUACCUUUGUUCACUUUGCCAUCCUUCUUAUCCGCCAAAUACUUGGGGCAGUUCCGCUUCCAGUGACCAGUCUGCUUGCAGUAGAAGCACUCAGUUUCAGGCUUAGGUCCAGACUUGGGUUUCUUCUCUUGAGCAGCAACUUGCUUGCUGUUCUUCUUGAAGUUCCCCUUCUUCUUCCCUUUGCCCUUUUUCUUGAAACUAGUGGUCUUGUUGACCAUCAACACUUGAUGCUCCUUCUUGAUUUCUACCUCCGCAGCUUUUAGCAUUGCGAAGAGCUCAGGAAUAGUCUUGUUCAUUCCUUGCAUAUUAUAGUUCAUCACAAAGCUCUUGUAGCUUGGUGGCAGUGAUUGGAGAAUUCUGUCAAUGACGCUAUCAUCCGGAAGAUUAACUCCCAGUUGAAUCAAGUGAUUAUUAUUCCCAGACAUUUUGAGUAUAUGCUCACUGACAGAACUAUUCUCCUCCAUCUUGCAGCUGUAGAACUUAUUGGAGACUUCAUAUCUCUCAAUCCGGGCAUUUGCUUGAAAUAUUAACUUCAACUCCUGGAACAUCUCAUAUGCUCCAUGACGUUCAAAACGUCGUUGAAGACCCGGUUCUAAGCCGUAAAGCAUGGCACACUGAACUAUAGAGUAGUCAUCAGCUUUGCUAUGCCAGACGUUCUUAACAUCGUUAGUUGCAUCAGCAGCAGGCCUGGCACCCAGCGGUGCUUCCAGGACGUAACUUUUCUGUGCAGCAAUGAGGAUAAUCCUCAGGUUACGGACCCAGUCCGUGUAAUUGCUACCAUCAUCUUUCAACUUUCCUUUCUCAAGGAACGCAUUAAAAUUCAAUGGAACAACAGCACGAGCCAUCUAUCUACAAACAAACAUAGACAAGCAAAAUACUAUCAGGUACUAAGUUCAUGAUAAAUUUAAGUUCAAUUAAUCAUAUUACUUAAGAACUCCCACUUAGACAGACAUCUCUCUAGUCAUCUAAGUGAUCACGUGAUCCAAAUCAACUAAACCAUAACCGAUCAUCACGUGAGAUGGAGUAGUUUUCAAUGGUGAACAUCACUAUGUUGAUCAUAUCUACUAUAUGAUUCACGCUCGACCUUUCGGUCUCCGUGUUCCGAGGCCAUAUCUGCAUAUGCUAGGCUCAUCAAGUUUAACCUGAGUAUUCCGCGUGUGCAAAACUGUCUUGCACCCGUUGUAGAUGGACGUAGAGCUUAUCACACCCGAUCAUCACGUGGUGUCUGGGCACGACGAACUUUGGCAACGGUGCAUACUCAGGGAGAACACUUCUUGAUAAUUUUAGUGAGAGAUCAUCUUAAAAUGCUACCGUCAAUCAAAGCAAGAUAAGAUGCAUAAAGGAUAAACAUCACAUGCAAUCAAUAUAAGUGAUAUGAUAUGGCCAUCAUCAUCUUAUGCUUGUGAUCUCCAUCUCUGAAGCACCGUCGUGAUCACCAUCGUCACCGGCGCAACACCUUGAUCUCCAUCAUAGCAUCGUUGUCGUUACGCCAUCUAUUGCUUCUACGACUAUCGCUACCGCUUAGUGAUAAAGUAAAGCAAUUAUAGGGCGUUUGCAUUUCAUACAAUAAAGCGACAACCAUAUGGCUCCUGCCAGAUGUCGAUAACUUCGGUUACAAAACAUGAUCAUCUCAUACAAUAAAAUAUAGCAUCACGUCUUGACCAUAUCACAUCACAACAUGCCCUGCAAAAACAAGUUAGACGUCCUCUACUUUGUUGUUGCAAAUUUUACGUGGCUGCUACGGGCUUUAGCAAGAACCGUUCUUACCUACGCAUCAAAAACCACAACGAUAGUUUGUCAAGUUGGUGCUGUUUUAACCUUCGCAAGGACCGAGCGUAGCCACACUCGAUUCAGCUAAAGUGAGAGAUACAGACACCCGCCAGCCACCUUUAAGCACGAGUGCUCGUAACGGUGAAACCAGUCUCGCGUAAGCGUACGCGUAAUGUCGGUCCAGGCCGCUUCAUCUCACAAUACCGCCGAACCAAAGUAUGACAUGCUGGUAAGCAGUAUGACUUGUAUCGCCCACAACUCACUUGUGUUCUACUCGUGCAUAUAACAUCAACGCAUAAAACCUAGGCUCGGAUGCCACUGUUGGGAAACGUAGUAAUUUCAAAAAAAUUCCUACGCACACGCAAGAUCAUGGUGAUGGCAUAGCAACGAGAGGGGAGAGUGUUCGUCCACAUACCCUCGUAUACCGUAAGCGGAAGCGUUAUGACAACGCGGUUGAUGUAGUCGUACGUCUUCACGAUCCGACCGAUCCAAGCACCGAACGUACGGCACCUCCGAGUUCAGCACACGUUCAGCUCGAUGACGAUCCCCGGGCUCCGAUCCAGCAAAGCUUCAGGGAUGAGUUCCGUCAGCACGACGGCGUGGUGACGAUGAUGAUGUUCUACCUGCGCAGGGCUUCGCCUAAACUCCGCGACGAUAUGACCGAGGUGGAAUAUGGUGGAGGGGGGCACCGCACACGGCUAAGGAAUGAUUCGUAGAUCAACUUGUGUGUCUAUGGGGUGCCCCCCUGCCCCCGUAUAUAAAGGAGCAAGGGGGGGAGGCCGGUCGGCCCCUUGGGCGUGCCAAGGGAGGAGGAAUCCUCCUCCUAGNNNNNNNNNNNNNNNNNNNNNNNNNNNNNNNNNNNNNNNNNNNNNNNNNNNNNNNNNNNNNNNNNNNNNNNNNNNNNNNNNNNNNNNNNNNNNNNNNNNNNNNNNNNNNNNNNNNNNNNNNNNNNNNNNNNNNNNNNNNNNNNNNNNNNNNNNNNNNNNNNNNNNNNNNNNNNNNNNNNNNNNNNNNNNNNNNNNNNNNNNNNNNNNNNNNNNNNNNNNNNNNNNNNNNNNNNNNNNNNNNNNNNNNNNNNNNNNNNNNNNNNNNNNNNNNNNNNNNNNNNNNNNNNNNNNNNNNNNNNNNNNNNNNNNNNNNNNNNNNNNNNNNNNNNNNNNNNNNNNNNNNNNNNNNNNNNNNNNNNNNNNNNNNNNNNNNNNNNNNNNNNNNNNNNNNNNNNCGGAACACUUCCGGUGUCUGAAUAUAGUCGUCCAAUAUAUCAAUCUUUAUGUCUCGACCAUUUCGAGACUCCUCGUCAUGUCCGUGAUCACAUCCGGGACUCUGAACAAACUUCGAUACAUCAAAACUUAUAAACUCAUAAUAAAACUAUCAUCGUAACGUUAAGCGUGCGGACCCUACGGGUUCGAGAACUAUGUAGACAUGACCUAGAACCAUUCUCGGUCAAUAACCAAUAGCGGGACCUGGAUGCCCAUAUUGGUUCCUACAUAUUCUACGAAGAUCUUUAUCGGUCAAACCGCAUAACAACAUACGUUGUUCCCUUUGUCAUCGGCAUGUUACUUGCCCGAGAUUUGAUCGUCGGUAUCCAAUACCUAGUUCAAUCUCAUUACCGGCAAGUCUCUUUACUCGUUCUGUAACACAUCAUCUUAUAACUAACUCAUUAGUUACAAUGCUUGCAAGGCUUAGGUGAUGAGUAUUACCGAGAGGGCCCAGAGAUACCUCUCCGACAAUCGGAGUGACAAAACCUAAUCUCGAAUUAUGCCAACCCAACAUGUACCUUCGGAAAUACCUGUAGAGCACCUUUAUAAUCACCCAGUUACGUUGUGAUGUUUGGCAGCACACAAAGUGUUCUUUCGGUAAACGGGAGUUGCACAAUCUCAUAGUUGCAGGAACUUUGUAUAAGUCAUGAAGAAAGCAAUAGCAAUAUACUAAACGAUCAAGUGCUAGGCUAACGGAAUGGGUCAUGUCAAUCACAUCAUUAUCCUAAUGAUGUGAUCCCAUUAAUCAAAUGACAACACAUGUCUAUGGUUAGGAAACAUAACCAUCUUUGAUUAAUGAGCUAGUCAAGUAGAGGCAUACUAGUGACUUUAUGUUUGUCUAUGUAUUCACACAUGUAUCAUGUUUCCGGUUAAUACAAUUCUAGCAUGAAUAAUAAACAUUUAUCAUGAUAUGAGGAAAUAAAUAAUAACUUUAUUAUUGCCUCUAGGGCAUAUUUCCUUCAGCUAAUGUCGGGGAUAUACCCCGUAGUAUGACCCGACCAGACUUAGCGGCUCACCGGAGACCCGACAGACAUUUGACGACUCACUGGAGACCCCCCGAUCCUCGACGACCUAUUAGUGACCCGGCGGGCAGGUCAGACGAUCGACAAGACUCAAGCCCAGAAGGAUGGCUCAUGCUAUGGUGUGCCAGCUUAAGAGAAAAGGCAUAAGGAAUAUUCUCCCACAAAAGGAAGCAAGACUAGGACUCCACUUGUAAUAGAGUAAUCCUAAUCCUACUAGGACUAGUCAUGGAACCCGCACCUCCAACUUAUAUAAGGAGGGGCAGGGCACCCCAAGAGGGACAAGCAAGAAACAAUCUCUAGGGCUAGACCCAACGAGAAGAGAGUCGGCUUACCGGCGACUCCCUCAUGAGCAUAAUGAGACCUAGCCACAAACAGCAUGUAGGGCUUUUACCGGAUGAUGUUUCCCGGGGCCCAAAGCUGUCUAAAUCCUUGACUUGUGUGUUGCGUAUCUCGAUUCCGCCCAACCCCACUCAAGCUACCGCAUAGAUGCGUUGGCCUCGCGACUAAGUCCUCACACUAAGGACAUCUGUCGUGACAAUUCAACGACAAAAGGUUCAACAUGAACCGGGACUAAUGCAUAGCCUCACAUUAGUACCGGUUAAUUUACAAACCGGGACUAAAAGGCUGAACAUUAGGCCCUUUUUAUACUAGCGCCAUGGGACGCGUAGGAUGAAGAUGGUCUCUCUCAAGCAACCCUGCAACCAAAUAACAAAGAGUCUCUUGUGUCCCCAACACACCCAAUACAAUUUUAAAUUGUAUAGGUGCACUAGUUCGGCGAAGAGAUGGUGAUACAAGUGCAAUAUGUAUGGUAGAUAUAGGUUUUUAUAAUCUAGAAAUAUAAAAGCAGCAAGGUAGCAAGUAAUAAAAGUCAGCGAAAACGAUAUUGCAAUGCUUCGAAACAAGGCCCAGGGUUCAUACUUUCACUAGUGCAAGUUUCCUCAACAAUGAUAACAUAAUAAGAUCAUAUAACAAUCCCUCAACAUGCAACAAAGAGUCACCUCCAAAUUCACUAAUAGCGGAGAACAAAUAAAGAGAUUAUUUUAGGGUACGAAACCACCUCAAAGUUAUUCUUUUCGAUCAAUCCUUUGGGCUAUUCCUAUAAGUGUCACAAAUAGCCCUAAAGUCCGUAGUAAAAUAACACCUUAAGACACACAUCAACCAAAAACCCUAAUGUCACCUAGAUACUCCAAUGUCACCUCAAGUAUCCGCGGGUUUGAUUACACGAUAUGCAUCACACAAUCUCAUAUUCAUCUAUUCAGACCAACACAAAGAACUUCAAAGAGUGCACCAAAGUUUCUACCGGAGAGUCAAGACGAAAAUGUGUGCCAACCCCUAUGCAUAAGUUCACAAGGUAACUCAACCCGCAAGUUGAUCACAAAAACAUACAUCAAGUAGAUCACGUGAAUAUCCCAUUGUCACCACAGAUAAGCACAUGCAAGACAUACAUCAAGUGUUCUCAAAUCCAUAAAGACUCAAUCCGAUAACAUAACUUCAAAAGGAAAACUCAAUCCAUUACACGAAGGUAGAGGGGGAGAAACAUCAUAAGAUCCAACUAUAAUAGCAAAGCUUGCGAUACAUCAAGAUCGUGCCAUAUCAAGAACAUGAGAGAGAGAGAGAGAGAGAUCAAACACAUAGCUACUGGUACAUACCCUCAGCCCCGAGGAUGAACUACCCCCUCCUCGUCAGGGGGGUCCACGAGGCAGCCACGAGGUUGGGGGAGCACUACUAGGAAAAGGCCUACUAGUGGCGCACCUGUUUUGCCUACUAAUGGCGCACUACACGUGCACCACUAGCACCACGACAUUAGAAUUUUUUACUAAUGGCGCACCACUGGUGCACCAUUAGUAUAUGGUAUACUAAUGGCGCACAAGGCAGUGCGCUAUUAGUAUAGCCCACGGUGCGCCAUUAGUAUGCCUCACAGGGGGCCAUAUUUACCCAUGUGCUUUGGCUUACUAAUGGCGCACUAGUGGAUGCUGCGCCAUUAGUGUCCUUUUUGCAGUGCGCCAUUAGUCUGCUGAGUGGUGCACCACUAGUAUGAAUAUUAGGGAUUUUUUUUCUUUUCUGAUAUUUGCACAGGUUACAAAACAUAUUACUACACAGAAUAUAGAGAGCACAACAUAUAAACAGCAGAUUUAUCGAAUACAAUAGAAUAUUAGUCUCCGAAUACAAUUUGUCAUAUUAGUCUCCGAAUUUAAAAUAUCAAACGAAGUUAGAACGGUGCACCCUUUGUAAGUGUUACCGCUGAAACGGUGAACCUGUCUCCGACACUCCUCCCAGUCGUCGUAGACUCCGGGAACCUUACCCUUGUACACGACAUACGACGGCAUCUCUAUGCACUAGCCAAACAAAACAUUAGUAACAAUUCACAGACAAUACAUAAGCAAUAUAUAAGUAUGCAACAAAAGGAUUGGAAGAGAAAAGCAACACAUUAAUAGCACGAUUCAUGGUCCUGCUAAUAAAUAGCAUCGAUUACAUAUAAGUUGAAGGAUUGUCCAAACCAAAGAGACAUACAAGUUCAUUAAAGUUUAAUAUACAACAUGAGCCAAUCGACAUUUCAGAACUACAUAGAAUCACUACUUUCGACUCGACUCAGGGACCGGAGCGUGGAUGAAGCCGUCGUCUUUCGUGAUGGUCAUGAAAUUGCGGGCGUUGUCAGCCUGCAUUUGUAGCAUUGUUUUUAUCUCACUGUUGGACGGUUGAGAUCUGAGGUAGAACUGCCCCGAGGUACGAAGGACAUCUUGAUGGAUGAUUUCCACAAACUCCGACUAGAUGCGAAAGAAUCCUUGUCUGAUAUCCGCGUCCUGGUUUGCUGACAAGCGUGUGGCCAAAUCUUUGAGAUUAUUUGGUAGCAGAAGGUGAUUAUGGUCCCGUACGAUCGCCCGCAUGUGAUGGAGGGUGUAGUAGGCAUCCUUCUGACCGCGAGGCGGCUACUUGACGUAGGGGAACAUCGUAUUUUGGGUGAACAUGUGCUUGUCGUACCUACGAACUGGCCUCUUGAAGGUGCCUCUAGAUCUGGCGUAGCCUGGGAGAGCAUCAUCAAGAACUUUCUUGAUAUUUGUGUAGUCUAUCUUCGACUCACAGUCCGGGUCGAAAUACGUGGCCAUGGAAUAUUUCGGGCUUAAGAGGAUGAGUGUGCAAUGUGUGUCACUGCACAAAACACGGAUUGUUAGGAAAAAAAGAAUGAUCAAAAUCUAAGAAAUCAUAUAUUACGGGGCGGUGAGGGGAUGACUUACUCGGAAAGUAAGGCAUGAGGAAGUUAUCCUUAUCUGGGUUUUCCAGAAUGACGCCUUCGAGGUGUGAACUCGCAACUUGCCGGUCCCCAGCGCUGCCCAAGAUCUUGGCACGCAUGUAGAAGGGGUCGACUAUCACGAUGUCCAGGGUCUUGUCUCUAAUGAUCCGCAUCUCUGUACUCAGCAAAAACAGUCGAACGAAGGUGUAGUGCAGCGGAUGAAGGUUAAACAUAGCGAAGAUGUCAUCAAAUCGCAGGACGAUCGUACCCCCGAUGGCGCUAUCCACAAAGCCCUUGCCCUCUGGCACCUUGGCCACGAAAACUAGGCCACAUCAUUCUGGGAGAGACGCCGCUUCUCCAAAUAAAGAACACUAUCAUUCAGACUCUGCAUAGCUCCUGUUGCAGCAUUUAGCAGAUUAGUCGGUAGCAUCGCCCUACCUGCCACAUGCACCCUCUUCGAGAUAUCCUUAGGUGAAGGUGGCCCAUCCUGAGCAUGGAUCGUACUCGGUGCCGGCUGGCUCGCACCGCUCUUGUUAUUCUUUCGUUUCCGUCCCUUCUUCUUCAUCUGCUGUAAUGGGAUCGAGUUCUGCUCAGAGACCGCCUUCUUGAGUGUGUUGGGGCUGAUAAUAUUUUGCACCUCGACUAUCUGAGGCUCGGUGAAGGCGGCAGCUGGAGGCGUCUCCUGAGAACUGAACGCCAUACGACGCAUGUUGCAAUUGGGUUUCUCUGCGGUACCAGCAAGAUCGCGGUCAUCUUUUUCAGGGUUGGGUUCUUGAGAAAGAGGCCCGAAGAAUUCGUCACCAUACCCAUGUUUGGCAAAUUACUUAUCGACGUUGGUAAAUGUACCAUCGUCAUUGUCGUCGUCGUCCGGAUCCUGUGCCAUAGGGAUGUCCGGAUCCUGUGCCAUAGGGAUGUCCGGCAUGUCCGUUAGCGUUGCGGCGGUCUUGCCAUGACUUGGUGCCGGCACGACUGGCGGUGUUGUCUGUGGGGUGGUGUCCCCCGCCCACAAACGAAUUUGGCUCUUCGGCCAAAGCAGGGGCCAGCUUACGCAGGCACUAAGGGUCAUCACAUCAUCUUCGUCGGCCCCAGCAGGUCGAAUCGGAGGUAACAACUCGUCGCAGCCUGGUAGCACCAGAACCAGUUCAACCCUAUACACGGUGGGUGGCAUCGGAUUACCGUGGAACACGGGGUUGCCCGGUUGAAUGAUUCUUCCCUUGGCAACAUCGAUCAACUCGCCACGCACGAAGUGCAGGAGAGUGCAUGGAACGUCGGCGGUGCCCUGUGAAAACAUGUAGGGUGUUAGGGAUGCCCAGUCAAAGGCAAGAAGAUGAAGUCAUCGGCCGAGAGGCUUAGUUACCGUGAUGGCGUCGAGCUGGGCUAAUGUGGAGGCACCGCCAAUGGCGGGCGUGCAACUGACGGAGGGGCCACUUGCUGCCGAGGUGCCGGCCGGCGUACACCCGGGUGCAUCAAGCUCCAAUGCCCAUGCCGGCGCCGGAGACACGAAUACCGCCUCCGCCAGAGACACCAAUGGCGCUGCCUGAGCGUUGUGCGAGAUGCUGGCUGUGAAGCUGGGAACCGAGGGCGGCCCCUGUUGGCCGCCCGCAAUCCACGUCGUCAGCCCCUGAAUCAAGGUAGGCACAAUGGCGGUGAGCAUCGUUCCCAGUUUUUUUGCACUUGCUCUUGGAUAAUCUCCGGAAUCUGUGCCACUUGUGCCUUGAGUUCUUGAACCUCGCGCGGCUGGCUUUCUGAGCUAGUCUUUCUCUCCUUUCGCCCACCAGCGGUAUAGUAUGACGACCAUUUUGUGGAGAAGCCUUUGCCGGCCACACGACCAGCUGACGACGGCUUACUGAGCUUAUCCUUGUUUUUCAUUAUGUUCAACGCCCUAUUUAGAGUGUUGUCCCAAGGGGAGCUCUGAGACGACCCCGCGCUACUGCUUUCAGUCUCCUGCGGAAGGAAUGUGAACCAUUUAGAAAUUUGGCUUCAUUAAUUAGAAUGCAACCAUAUGGAGCUAAUUACGCGGGGGUGUAUUCCUUACCAGAACACGCUCAAGCGCCUUGGUCUUCGGAUCCGUGGUAAGCUCCUUUGUUACCGGGUCCUCCUUGUACCGGGCCCUGACAUAGUUCCUGGUCUUCUUGUCAUGGUAUUUCUCAAAGCGGGGCGGUAGGACUUGCUCGGCACGCUCCGCGUCCUGCUUGUCCCAUAUAGUCUUCGCCACUCUGUAACCGCUGAGACCGAGUUGGUGGACCCCUAAGUUCAACUCCCGCAUUUCUUUCCCCCACUGACUUGAUUCCACCUUGGUGGCACCAUCAGUGGUGUCGUCCCCGAUGCCACUAGGGGUUGUGUAGUUAGGAUCGCUGUCUUCCGCGACGUCCUCAUAGCGGUGAGGUUCUUCCUCCAUCCCCUGGGACAGCUCCCGUAAUUGCUUGCCCGAAUCGCCGGCCUCAUCGUUGUGGGCCAUGUUUCGCUCUAAAUAGGAAAAAAGUUUGGUCCAAAAGUUGGUUAUUGUCAAGGAACAAGAUCAUGGUCUCAUCAGUUAGGGUUUGUCGACGCCGAGGCACCCUAAAAGCCUAAGCUUCCAUCAUUUAGGUUUUUAUCGACACCGAGGCACCCUAAAAGCCAAGGUUUUAUAAUUUAGGGUUUGUCGACGCUGAGGCACCCUAAAUGCUAAGUUAAGUUUUCAUCAUUUAGGGUUUAUCGAUGCCGAGGCACCCUAGGUUGACUGAUAUAUAUGGGUAUCUUCUAAUAAUAUACCCUAUCAAGAAAAGGGAAGGAGAAUUCUAAGUUGGGCCUAAUCACUUGGCUCUAUUGCCACCUAUGGUUUAAUGCAGCAAGAAUAAAGGGGCAGUUGAUCCUACUUAAUUAAGUACUAAGAUACCCUGGCCCAUGCAUUAGUCGCAAGUACCCCAUAUGUCCUAUUUUUAGCAAAGUCAUGCUAAAAUUCACGGAAAAUUUCAGCAUGACCUUUGCUGAAAAUAGGACAUAUGGAGUACCCGAAUUUGCCAGAACGGAAGUUAAUCGACAUUCCGGCAAACUCAAGGGCCUCUGAGGAUACUUGCAAAAUCAUCACGACACGAUGGUCGGAGACAAAAACCAGCAAACUAGCAAAGUUACUGACGUGUUUACAGAAAUUGUUUUCUGUAAAAGAUGAUCAUCAUCUUUACAAGUCUUUCUCAAUGUCUACAACUAUAAGACCAUCACAAGUAUCAACAGAACAUGUCUACAACUAUCAGACCAUCACAAGUACCAUCGUUCAGGCCAUCACAAGCAUAACAGAGCAAUGGUGUUUUCUUCAGUUACCUUUGAUCUGGCUUCUCGGAAUCAAUUGACCUUCAGAUCCGCUGACCAAUCCACUAACCUGCUGUAAACUGUACAUCAUUGUAAAAACACAGUUCAUUUCAUUUUAUUUGUAAAUAAAUGCAAUUUGUAAAAAAAAUUGUACAACAAUAUAUCUUCUAGCCAUGAAACCCUACCCUGAUUCUCCUUUCUUCCUCUUGCCGAAGAGAAGUUGGCUGCAGAGGAUGGUCCAACUCAGAUCAGCCUGCAGAAGUUCAUUGUAUAAUUUUUGUUUAGUUCCAAGCAGUAGUUCAAGAAGUGCAAAUUGCAGAAGUUUGAGAAAGCACUAACUGGAAAGUCUGGUGUUUCCUAGAAAACAUGAAAGGGCCUGACUAUGCAUACAAUUCUACAACAAGACAUCCACCAUACAAUUUUUAUUAAAGGAAAAGACUUAAGUUAACUUUAAUUAAAGUUUCAGUGAAAGUUUAAAUUAAAGUUUCAGUUAAAGUUUUAGUUGAUUUUAAAGUUAAGUUAAAUUUUCACUUAAAGUUUCAGUUAAAGGAGAGCACUUGCUACUGGAUUUUAGGGCUAUUGUAAGCAGUGCACUACUGCACUAUUGUUCAUACUCCUGCACUAUUGCACUACUGGAAUCCUCCUUCAAACUACUGCAAGCGGGAAUACUGAUGCAAACCCUAGAACUUCAAGCAGUAGCAGGAGUACAACAAGAAGAGAAGAUGAGACAAUAUGGAGGGCACAAGACAAACUACUGAAAUGGUUUCUUUGUGCUGUACUCCAAAAUUCAACCAAACAAAUUAACUGAAACUUAACAGCAGCAGCAAGUACUACACUAUUGUUGUCCUACACUAAACUAAUACACCCAAACAAAUUAAUUGAAGAAAAACUACUGAAACUAUACAAGCACUACAGUCAGAUUACACAAAAGUACUGAUGCAAGCAGUAUAGUACACAAAACUUGCAACCUUACAAGCACUACUGCAACUUAAUUAAGCUGCUGGAGUAAGUGAAACAAAUGCACUUAAAUAAGCUACUGGAGUAAGUAACUCCAUGGCGUACUCACUUGAGUACAGCUAAAUGUUCAGGAAUACUUCUCUAGCAUAAGCAACUGCUGACAACUUUCAUACUCCAAUGAGAAGAGUACUUGUACUCAUAGCAGUUCAGAAGUGCAACUACUCUUCUGUGAAAUUCAGUGCAUCUACUGCAAAUAAAAUUCAGUAAAUUUCCACCCAGCAACUAGAUAGGAUGGCCAUAAAAUUCAGUGCAUCUACUUCAACUACUCUUCAAGUAUAUGAAUAUUGUGAACCUAAUAAGUUUUCCAGAAACAUAAGUAUUAGGGUGAUAACUAGUGUAUCAAUUUCAUUGUGAUAAUUGUACCCUGAACACCUCAGAAACUCUAUUAUUGUGUUGGUCACUAUAAAACAGGAGUAUGAAAACCAACAACCUAGCUAGAGCCUACUAUAGCAGCACCCUUGGCGUCGAGAGAGGAGAAGAAUGGGAUUGAAACAAGGCAGAGAGGAGAAGUGGGUCGAGAGAGGGGACCUUGGCGUCGUUCUCGCGGCCGACGGAGUAGCGGCGGUGUUGCUGGGCGGGGGCAGCUACUCCGGGGACGGGGAGGGAGGUGCUGCGGUGCCGGAGGCGGGGCCGCGAAGGCUGGGCGCGUGUGGCUGCCCGACUCGUCGGUGGAGGCGACCGUCGGAAGCAACGGACGGAUCCCGUCCUCCUCCUCGUCCUGCACCCCGUGCGGUCGUCGGCGGUGGGAUGGUUGCGAGUCGGCGGCGGGAUGGUUGGGGGCCGCGGCGUCUUGCUGUCCGGUGGAGGGUGGAUGGAGUGUCGACUUGUGGGCGGCGGAGGAGCUGCAGUGGUGGGGGGCACGGGGUGCGGGGGCGGCGGCACAUGUAGGGGCGGCGGCGCAGUGGAUCGGGGAAGCGACGCGCAGUGGGGGGGCUGAGAGAGAUGUGAGAUGGGAUCGGGGAUUGGGAAUUUUAGUCGGGGGAGGGAUAGCAAUGGCGCACCACCUAGCGGUGCGCCAUAAGUAAUUUUUUUUAGAUAGCAAUGGUGCACCACCCAGCGGUGCGCCAUAAGUAACAUUUUUUGCAUAGCAAUGGAGCACCACCCAGCGGUGCGCCAUAAGUAAUUUUUUUUGUUGCAUCUAAUAAUUUUUAGAAAAUGAAUAUGAAUAUAAAACAGUAAUAUUUUUUUAUAAAAACAGUAAUAAUUUUUUUAAAAAUAUUAUCAAAUUUGUUAUUUGAAAAUAUCAUCAAAUUGGUUAUAUGAAAAUAUAAUCAAAUUUUUUUUUAGUUGCAUUCAUUUGUGAAUUGGUGCGGGGNNNNNNNNNNNNNNNNNNNNNNNNNNNNNNNNNNNNNNNNNNNNNNNNNNNNNNNNNNNNNNNNNNNNNNNNNNNNNNNNNNNNNNNNNNNNNNNNNNNNNNNNNNNNNNNNNNNNNNNNNNNNNNNNNNNNNNNNNNNNNNNNNNNNNNNNNNNNNNNNNNNNNNNNNNNNNNNNNNNNNNNNNNNNNNNNNNNNNNNNNNNNNNNNNNNNNNNNNNNNNNNNNNNNNNNNNNNNNNNNNNNNNNNNNNNNNNNNNNNNNNNNNNNNNNNNNNNNNNNNNNNNNNNNNNNNNNNNNNNNNNNNNNNNNNNNNNNNNNNNNNNNNNNNNNNNNNNNNNNNNNNNNNNNNNNNNNNNNNNNNNNNNNNNNNNNNNNNNNNNNNNNNNNNNNNNNNNNNNNNNNNNNNNNNNNNNNNNNNNNNNNNNNNNNNNNNNNNNNNNNNNNNNNNNNNNGGGUCGUCGGCAACGGUGGAGCGGGGGAGGGUGCGGGGGGUGCUCGGCGGCAAGGGGGAUCUGGCGAGGGAGGAUAGCGAUCGAGAUGGAGGGGAUCGAGAUCGAGUGUCGUCAUGAAUAUUCAAUAUUUUUUCAUAUUGAAUAUGAAAAAAUAUCAUCAAAUUUGAAAAAAUAUUCAUGAAUUCAAAAAGUGCCCAUGAAAUUUAAAAAUAUUCAUGAGUUCAAAAAGUGCCCAUAAAAUACAAUCGAGAAAUGAAGGCUACAAUUUAAAUACAAUCGAUCUUAGCUAGCUAUCUGUUCACAAUCUUCUUGCCCUUAUUUUUUGUAAAUGGAGUUCUUCUCUUGAACGGACGUCCUUUAGGUAGGGUGGUCCUGCUUCUUCUUGUGGUGUAUGCUGGUACUUCAUCAUCGUCGUCAUGUUCCAUCUUCGGGUCGCCGUACUUGUCGAAGUCUUGCUCAUUGGCGACUCCAUCCAUUCCGAUGAUCUUCCUUUUGCCUCUCCUCACAACUACACGACUGGGCUUUGACGGGUUGGUAAUGAAGAAGCAUUGGUCGAUUUGGGAAGCCAGUACCCAUGGCUCAUUUUUCGCGGUGACGUUUGCGCCCGCGGUCUUGGAUUUGGCUUUGGGUAUAACCAUGUUGGUGAAAUACUGGUCUUCUUUUAUGACGCUCUUGGCCCAUCUGACACGGAACAUCGGGACCUUCUCUCCAGCGUAGCUCAGCUCCCAGAUCUUAUCGAUCCUUCCGUAGUAUCUGUUCUUGUCGUUACUGGUGUAGGAUUCCAUCGUUACCUGGGAGUUCUGAUAACCAUCGCUCUUCAUGUCCUUUCCCUCGGUGUAGAAUGUGAAGCCGUUGAUAUCGUACGCCUCAUACGUCAUCAGCUUGUGCUCGGCGCCCUGUUUCAAGGCGAAUAUGAAUUGUUCUUCCGCGGAAGAAUCCUCAUGUAAAGGGUACGACGGAAGCUUCUGCUUGAACCAACGCGUGAAACAUGAGUUGUGCUCUUUGAUUAUAUCUCCGUCCGUCCUCUGUUGGCCUCGGUCAUUGUACGUCUUGUCAAUAAAGGUUUUGUGCUCUACCACCCAAGGAUCGACCACGUCUAUGUGUUGUAGUGUGACUAGGUUUGCUCUUUCAAAGUCGGCGAGUCGACCCUCAAAGUCGACAUGCAUUUCGAAGCGACCCUCAUAGUGACCCCAUCCAGCGAGCCUGCCGAGGUGCCUGUUGACAGGCAGACCAAUGGGGUUCUCGAUGCCUAGAUAAUUCCUGCAGUAGGAGAUGCACUCUUCAGCCUGAAAGCCCCUCGCUAUGCUUCCCUCUGGACGUGACAUGUUGCGAACGUAUCCUUUGAUGACACCAUUCAUCCUUUCGAGCGGGCAUCAUGCUGUGCAGGAACGUCGUCCCGAGUUGGAUGAUAUCCUCCACGAUAUGGACCAGCAGACGCACCAUAAUGUCGAAGAAUGCGGGCGGGAAGUACAUCUCCAGCUCACAUAGUAUCACCACGAUCUCUUCCUGUGGCCUUCUGAGUUGCCUCAUGCCAACCGACUUUCGAGAGAUGACAUCGAAGUUGCAUAGGCCAAAUAGCGUUUCACGGACAUGCGCGUCCAUGAUCCCACGGAUUGCAACGGGAAGUAUCUGCGUCAUCAGCACGUGAUAGUCGUGAGACUUCAUCCCGCUGAACUUCUGCUUCGCUGAGUCUAGGUAUCUGCUUAUCUUCCCCGCGUAAACGUAAGGAAGUUUUACUCCUACGAGGCAGGUGAAAAACUGAUCGAUCUCCUCCUGACUUAGAGUGAAGCACGCGGGAGGGAAGUCAUUUCUGGUCUUCUUGGCCUUUUUGCCUUUGCGACGACUUUCUGUGUCCUGCUUCGCCUCAUCAUCAUCAUUAGCGUGAAGGUCCUCCCUAAUGCCCAUCGAUAUCAAGUUUGCCCUUGCUUUCAGCCCAUCUUUGGUCCUCUCUGGCAUGUUGAGCAGGGUACCAAGCAGACUCUCGCACACGUUCUUCGUGAUAUGCAUGACAUCAAGGCUGUGAGGCACACGGUGGAUCUUCCAGUACGGCAAGUCCCAGAAAAUAGACCUCGUUUUCCAUACCUUCAGUAGCGGCUCUAGCGCCUUUCACUUCUUUCCCGGCUCUAGCGCCUUCUGCUUCUUUCCCGGUAGUGGGCAAUCUUUCCAAUUUUUCAACAGCUCAUCUAUUUCCUCGCCGCUCCUCGUACGCGGGCAUCUUCGGGGUUUGGUUUCACCAUCGAACAGAUCCUUGCGUUUCCUCCAUGAGUCAUCGUCGCGAAGCCACCUUCGAUGUCCCAUGAACACGGUUUUUGAAUACCCGUGAUCUUUAUCUAGCUGGUGAUACGUUGUGUCAUCCAUGCACCUGACGCAUCCAGAAAAUCCGUGGACCACCUGCCCGGCGACAUAUCCGUAACCGAGAUAGUCCUCGUGAGUAGUGCGGCUCUCAUAGGUAUUGGCUGGUGUUUUCCACAGUGUGUCUAGCUCCUCUUUCAGCAGCCCCAGAUACAGAUUGAUGUUGUUCCAUGGUUGUUUCGGCCCUUCAAUUAGUAUACUCAUGUGAAUGUACUUCCUCUUCAUGCACAACUAGGGGGGAAGGUUGUACAUCCACACAAAUACAUGCCAGGUGCUAUGUGUGCUUCUCUAGCUGCCAAACAGAUUGACUCCAUCGGUGCUCGCACCCAGCAUGAUGUUCCUUGGAUCCUUUCCAAAUUCUGGGUGUUCGAAGUUCAACGCUUGCCACUGGCUCCCAUCUUUUGGGUGACUCAGCAUCUUGUCUUUUUAUUUAUAUCUGGAUCAUUUGCGUCAUCUUCUCGCUUCUUCUCCUCCCUAUCCGCGUGCCAACGCAGGAGCUUUGCUACCUUAGGGUCCGCGAAAUACCGCCGCAGACGAGGAGUGAUCGGAAAGUACCACACCACUUUUCGAGGAGCUUUCUUCCUCUUCUUGUAUCGAGUGACGCCGCACACCGGACAUAUGGUAGACUCCGUGUGCUCGUCCCGAUAAAUGAUGCAAUUUUUCAUGCACACAUGGUAUUUCACGUGCGGUAAAUCCAGAGGACACACGAUUUUCUUCGCCUCCUCGAAACUGGUCGGGCACUUGUUCCCCUUGGGAAGACGUUCGUGCCACAAUGACAUGUUCUCGUCGAAGCAUGUGUCGGUCAUUUUGUGUUUUACCUUCAUCUCCAGAGCCAUGAGCGUUACUUUCAGGCGGGUAUCCUCGGGCCUGCAUCCUUCAUACAAUGGAGUAACCGCGUCUAUCUCAAGUUGAUCCAGCUUGGCUUUCUCUCGGGCGACAGCUCUUGCGUGAUCCGUCUGCUUGAGAAGCAUCUCUUGAAUAUGAGGGUCCUGCACCUAGCCCAUCGAUGGUCCAUCGUCGUCUGCUCCGGCAUCUUCAUCUUCCUGAUCAUGCCCUUCGUCUGCUUCGGCAUCUUCCUCAUCAUCAUGUUCGGCAUCUUCUACAUGAUGACUGUGUACUGCAUCUACUUCGUGAUCAUGUCCUGGAGAUUCUUCGUCUUCUCGCCCGCCCUCGCCACAGUUGUCUUGCUGCCCUUCCUCAUUUCUUGCCCGGCCCCCAUGGACGACUUCAUAAUCAUCUUCAUCACCUUGCCAACGAUAGCCAUCCAUGAAACCACGCAAGAGCAGGUGGUCCCGCACCUGUACGGAAUCCGGGUCCAUAAGGCUCCUCAGCUUGCAUCUUCGACAUGGACAUCUUAUCUCCGUCUCGUUCUUUCGAAGCAACUCGGCCUUCACGGAGCUCAAAAACCUAUUCACGAUGCCUUCGGUCAUCGUGCGGACCAUGGUCGCCUGCGGGAUAGAGCAAAACGAUAUUUUAUAACAAAGAAAAAAUUUGGCAUCACUUCGCCUAAAAAUAGUACCAAAAAGAAUGCUUAGUGCCAAAAUUCUCGCCGAAACGGAAAUGAAUCAACAUUCCGACAAAAUAUUGGCAACUAUCGCAUUUCAAAUACUGGUACCUGCAAACACAAACAUAUGUGCAACACAACAAACAUAUGCAACAUCACAAACAUACAUAGAUCUAGCUAGGCCAUAAAAAGUGCAUGUGCACGUUGUUGGAGGGAGAAAAAAAGUAGAUCUACAACAUAAAAAAAGUUUUCCCCUUACUUACCUAUCAAAAAAAGUAAUUUAACCACUUAAUUUGGAUGAAUCUAUGGUACACAUGAGGUGAGGAGGAGGAGGAAGCCGAGACAAGCUUGGAGGAGGAGGUGGAGAGAAUAAAGUAGGGAAAGUGAGUGUGUAGGUGGCUGUCCAAAAUAUCUAGCUGGUCUCAUGUUACUAAUGGUGCACCACCUACAAACGCGCCAUUAGUAACCCUGGUUACUAAUGGCGCACCAGCUAGUGAUGCGCCAUUAGUAGUUUUGCAAAAAAAAAUUAUAGUAGUGGCGCACUGUGUGGUUGGUGCGUCAUUACUAGUUAAAACUAGUAAUUGCGCACUGUGCCCUGGUGCGCCAUUAGUAUUUUUGGAAAAAAAAUUUACUAGUGGCGCACGAUGGGUCUGGCGCGCCAUUAGUGUCUAUCACGCUAAUGGCGCACUAACACAUGGUGCGCCACUGCUAUAUAGUAGUGGCGCACCACAUGUCUGGUGCGCCAUUAGUGUCCAUAUCAUCUAUAGCCCUUUUCCUAGUAGUGGAGCGCCCAAGGGGGUAGGGCGCGCCCUCCAGGUAGCCUCGGGACUUUUGUCCAUCUCCGAUGCGCCGUGGGCUUCUUCUGGUCCAAAAAUAAGGUCCGUGAAUUUUCAGGUCAAUUGGACUCAGUUUGGUUUUCUUUUCUACGAUACUCAAAAACAAGGGGAAAAAACUGGCACUAGGCUCUAGGUUAAUAGGUUAGUCCCAAAAAUUAUAUAAAAUAGCAUAUAAAUACAUAUAAAACAUUCCAGAUAAAUAAUAUAAUAGCAUGGAACAAUCACAAAUUGUAGAUACAAUGGAGAUGUANNNNNNNNNNNNNNNNNNNNNNNNNNNNNNNNNNNNNNNNNNNNNNNNNNNNNNNNNNNNNNNNNNNNNNNNNNNNNNNNNNNNNNNNNNNNNNNNNNNNNNNNNNNNNNNNNNNNNNNNNNNNNNNNNNNNNNNNNNNNNNNNNNNNNNNNNNNNNNNNNNNNNNNNNNNNNNNNNNNNNNNNNNNNNNNNNNNNNNNNNNNNNNNNNNNNNNNNNNNNNNNNNNNNNNUUCCCUACGUUCAAAAAAACUUGUUGUGGUUUGAACUAAAACCACGACAAGUAUUUUGGAAUGGAGGGAGUAGUAGUUAGCUGGUAUUUGUUGUGUAGGAUUAGGUGCAAUCAGGCCUACUAGCAUAAGUAGCAUGGUUUUUUGCCGAGACAUUUGAAUUUUAUUGUAGAAUUUUCCUCCCGGUCUUGCUUAGAUAGGAAUAGGAUAGGGUCUUUUGGUUUUCCAUGAGUAAUACGUGUACAUUUACAGUAUACCACGUAAGCAUUUGUAAAUUUGCAAAUAUUACAUUGUACGAAAGUGUUUCCGUUGAAACUUAGAAAUUGCAAUGCAACUACAUCAACUUUGGCUUGUGAAUCAAAGAGUUAAUUUGAUCACCUCAUCAAACAAUUAUUACGAGAGUAUUUGGCGAAUAGAUAUUCCACUUAUAAAUGUUGAGAUUUUGCACAGUUCAUUAUUGCAGCAAGCCAAUAACAUUGCCAUGUCUAGGCUAACAUAUCAUAAUGUCAUGUGUCAUACUCAGCGGGACGUAUGAUGGGAUAGCGACUGUUUAUUAAAAACACAUGACUCACACUUACCCGAUGGUGAAAGGUGGGAAGGAAAAGUGUGAUCACCUUUGAAUGGAAUCUCUGAUAAAAGACAACAAUAUAAUACAGGUAGUCUAAUUUGAUGGAAAAAUAUAUCAAAUCCAAUCGGACUUUGACUUUUUCCCGGACAAUCAACAGGGUUGCAGCCAGCCCACUAGUAUUGUCUCAUUGGGUUCAGUUGACCCUACUGAAAGCUUGCACAACCUAUAUAAAUCAUUAGGUUUUAUUGCUCAUUGCUAGCCAAUGAACCUCUUGCAAUAGGAUGAACCAAUUGCUUCAAUUGUCUGAUUUCAUCCCUUAUAGUACUAGUUCUCCUAUGAUGCUACUGAAUGAAGGUGAGCCCUGAGCCCAUUCAAAGAGCUAGCGGCCGUGACCCUUGAACAUUUCUAGAUGCACUAGUGUGAUUGAUAUAUUUUCUAUCAUAGUCACACUACUCAGACUGCAAUUGGGCUUCCCGUGGGCAUUCUAUCUCCACCCACUUAUAUAUAUGUCCUGUUCUAGUCGCAUUGCUCCUGCAAGAUGCCUACACAAGUAUUCCCACAUCCUGCAUGUUUCGCCAUGGCCGUGUUACUGUGCUCUGCACCUAUGCCUUGCUUCAUGGCGGGAUCGUGCCAGAAGCGGGACGACAUCAUCUCCUACAGCUUCCCUUUCUUCCCCCAUGAUAGCAUGCAGAACUUGGCGAUUUUCGGGGACGCGAGUGUGAUAGUGGCAAACCUCGUGCUCACUGUCGACAGAGACGGGAUGAAGGGUGGAGCCGGUUCUGCCCUCCUCCUAUCACCCAUCAAGCUCUGGGGCGUCGACUCCGACGAUGUGAAGCACGAGGCGUCCUUCAACACCUCCUUCACCAUGAAUAUCUACAGGCGGCUGGGACAAGGCGGCGGCCUUGCGUUCGUCAUCGUCCCCUCCCUCCACGGCCCUCCGCCUGGCAGCGAGGGUGGUUUCCUCGGUCUCACCAAUACCACCUCAAAGUCCACCACUGCCUCGGGCAGCAGUUUCGUCGCCGUCGAGUUAGACACCUGGAAGGACGACUUCGAUCCCGAUGACAACCACAUCGGGCUCAACAUCGGCAGCGUCGUCUCCGACGUAGUCGUCUCGCUCUCCUCACUCCCGGUGCCCGACAACAUCACCCUCGCACCGCUGAUGGAGUCGGUGGAUUACACCGUGUGGAUCGAUUACAACGGAGUCGGGCACCACAUAUGGGUGUACAUGGCCGUCGAUGGACUGCCCAAGCCUAACAAGGCCUACCUUGAUGCGCACCUCAACAUGAGCAGCAACAUCCCGCAGCAAGCGUUCAUUGGUUUCACGGCAUCGACGGGGGAAGGCCACCACCUACAUCGUAUCCUGAGCUGGAACUUGACAGUCGAAAAGCUUCCCGAUCACCGAGCCGUCCGACAACGGAAGAUGGUACUGUCCGCUGUUCUUGGGUCAGCGGCCGCCACCGUCGUCAUAAUAUCUGUCGCGGUCUUCUACUUCUACUUGAGGUACAAGGCCCUGAAGAUGGAGCUGAAGCUGUCAGAUGCUCUUCCGCGGCUUCCGGGAACGCCCAAGGAGUUCAAGUACGCCAUGAUCAGGAAAGCCACAAACAACUACGACGAGGCAAGGAAGCUAGGCAAAGGCGGGUUCGGCGCAGUGUACAGGGGAACGCUCCGCCUCCGGUCAGACAAGACGUGCCAGCUGGUGGACGUUGCUGUGAAAAAGGUCACACGUAAUCGAGACCGCGGCUACGAUGACUUCCUCGCCGAGGUCGACGUCAUCAACCGGCUGCGCCACCGAAAUGUCGUGCCGCUUGUUGGUAUGUCGUCACCCCUCACCACUACAUUAAAUUUUACUAGUUCGAUGAUACCCUUGGCGUUGCUGCUAGAAUUAGUUGCAAUUUAUUUUUAUAAUAUUUAGUUAUAUGGGCAUGACCAUUAUUAUAAAUCAAUAACAUAAGAAAUAAAACUGAAAAUACAUAUGAUUAUUGUAUAACAAAAAAAUAUUGAAUAUAAGUUAUAUAAGAUACAUCCGUAUCUAAACAAAUCUAAGACAAGAAUUUUGGGACGGGGGGAGUAUAAUUAAAACAUUUGAGAAUUUUUUCAUGCAUAUAUAGCUAUAUCCUGAGGUGAGCCUUUUUUAGGCUUGGUUGAAUGUUAAUGUAGUGUAACUGAGAUAAAUAUGUUAAUGGAGAUCACCUUAGUUAUAUAGAAUUAGGUCUAUGUCACAACAAUAAUACCCCGGGUGAGAUAUUAUCAUAAUACAUAAUUGAAAUGAAAUGUCGUUCUCUGUAGGUGACGUCAUUCAAAUUAUACGUGACAACCUCUGUCAUACAAGAAAAAACAAAUGUACUCCCUCUGUUUCUAAAUAUUUGUCUUUCUAGAGAUUUCAACAAGUGACUACAUACGGAGCAAAAUGAGUGAAUCUACACUCUAUAAUAUGUCUAUAUACAUCCGUAUGUGGUGGUUCAUUUGAAAUGUCUAAAAAGACAAAUAUUUAGGAACGGAGGGAGUACUUGAGAUGUUGACUUUUCUUACUUGAAAUAUGGUAGAACGAAUCAUAUAAUGUAUGGCAAGCGAAAAGUCACAAUUACUCCCUUUUUUUGCGGGCAAGUCACAAUUACUCAUGAUACUAGAGAAUACCCCGCGCGUUGCAAUGAGAAUUGAUUGAUGAAAAUUUAGAUUGACAACAUGAGAAUCAAAAUUUAAAAUACAUAUAUUAUUUAUAUAUUAUUAUUUAUAGUUGUAACAAUCUUUAUUGAAUAUAAGUAGAAAAAUCGUAUGAAAAAACAUUUUUCCGUGCAUGGUUGAAUGGUGUACUGGUCUUUUCUCAUGUGUGAUUUGCAUAUUGAGGUGGGUCUUAUCCUAUUUAUAAUUAUAUGGUGAGGUGACAUGCUUGUAUGUUCAGUUAAAUAACUUGAUGCGGAUGACUCUCAUAGGUAUAUAGGAUUAGGUGAUGAGAUCGUUACUUUAUAAACAAACUAGCCAUUGAUACACUCAGUUUUAGCUUCUUAGUUUCCACACACUAGCUGGCUCCAAGAGGCUAACUACCAUUACCAUCACCGAAUGGCAAUGAUUUAGUUCUUUGUCAAAUUAUGAUGUCUAUCCUCGGUAUGGAUAACAUUUACGGUAGUGAAAUACAAAAGUUUUUGAGAAAUGAUGUAAUGCUUGUGUUGGAGAAUUCAAAACACUUAAGAGUUAAUUUCUAAUUUUGGAAUUGGGCAACACAUGGACUGUAGAUUUGCCGCCUUAUAUGAAGCAACUUCUUUAUUAUGAAAAAUACGAUCUUCAGGUCACAUAUGGGCAAGAUUAAUUUGUAUAAUUGACCGAUCACAGUUCAGAUUACUUUGCAGUGUUUUCAGUAACACAAAUUAGGGCAAAUAAAAAAUGAUGUCAAAAAGUGGCGUACUAUAGUAUUGAUAAGGGUCUACUCAUGCCACUGAAUUUGGAUCACACAAUUUUGCCUCCCAAAAGGAAAUAAAUGUACUGCAAACAGAACAUAUAUAUACGUGUGCAAAAACUUCUUUAUUAAAAAGAUCAUACAUUCACUUGUGUGCAUAUUUACGAUAAAGGGUUCCCCCGCUUUAUAUUACAAAGCAAACACCCGAUACAUUCAGCUCGCUGGGGCCGCAGCACAGAUAAGCCCAAAAGAAAAACAAGAAGAAGAAAGAGAUAUAAAUGCCGACACCAGCAGAUCAACGAAGAAAGGAAGUCCGGCAACCGCUGCACCCUCCGAAGAAGUACCACCACGCUCCCAGCAUCCCGAAGCGCCGCGCCCCAAGCAACACCUUCAAGAAGGAAUGCGACGACGCCACCGUUGUUGCCCGAAUAAGUUCUAGGGUUUCCCCGGUACGCGAGGGAUAGUGGGGAAGGGGUAUACCCGAUGCCCCUCAGGAAGGUCCGACGGCACCCGCAGGCGUCAUCGCAUCGGUGUCGGCCAGGCCGACAGGGGUUUCUCCCGACCCAGAACCACCACCACCACCUCAGGCAUUUCGAAAUGCACCACCUCCUUGGCCACCCACCAGCUAGUGCCACUACGAUUACCGGACAACCCUCACCGCUUCACUGGAGCUGUCAACACGAGACUUGGAGAGGAAGAGGGGACACCAACUACGGGAGCGACCACAACUCGACCGGAUGGAGGGGACAGCCUCCACCGCCACAGCGGAGCCGACCGGACGUGGCGACGAGGACUUACCGGGCCUCAAUGGCCCGGCCGGGCCCACGUGGAUCCGGACAGUCCUGUCACCAUGCUGCAGCAGGCCGGCCAACGAAGUCCUCACCGCCCGAGACCGCCGCCAGCACGCCACCACCAAGGAACGUCGCCGCCGAGCACCAAGCCACCGGCCCGCCCCAACCCAGAUGGGCCCAAAUGGGCCCAGAUCUAGGCUGGGCGGGCGCCGCCAGCCACAGUGCCACCGGGCCGCACCACCGCGUCGAGAGCCAUCGGGCCCGCGGCACCACCACCGACGGGCCGCACCGAUGCCGGCCGAGGAGCACCGCCGCCAGCCACCACCGUCCGAGCAGGAGGGAGCCGCGCGCGGGGAAGGGCAGGCCCGCCGCCGCCAGCACCACGCGGCCAAGGCCCGGCGGCGCUCGCCGACGGCGGCUGGAAGGAGCGCUUGAGAGGAGCGGUGGAGAUGCCCCCAGUUGCCUCGCUCGGGGAGGCGACCCAGGGGUACGGGGAAGGAAGGGGAGGGGUAGGGGAGCGGGCUCCGGCUAGCGGCGUGGACGGGCUCCGGCCGCGGCGACGGCCCCGCGCGGGGGAGCCGCCGGCGGCGGCGAGGGAACCCUAGGAGGGGGCGGGUCGCGAGAGCGGGCAGGUCGCGAGAGCGGGCGGGUUUCGUCGACAACGACCAGCCACCAACUUUUCACUCCUUCAGAGUGCAGUUGUGUGCAUAUUCGAUGUCUUGGUUAGCUCUUGAUAUUGUGUUGGUGCAGAUGCCAGGAGUAAUGGGUGUUUUUCUUGAUAUUAAUAUAUAUUCCUUAUUGGCCAAAUAUUUACACUAUCAAAAAAGCGUAACACGGUGUAAAAGUUAUCAUAAUAUAGUGUCCAAUUUUUUUUAUUGGGCACAUGGCACAUAUCACGUGCUGAGGAAUUUCGAAACUACUCGCUGGCCUUGCACCUAGCUUACAAAUAUUAAAAUUAUAAUUCCAAUAAAAUUCAACAAAAAUGCACAGCGAUAUACAACAUACAUCAGUCUCCCAGAGAAAGUAGUACUAGGAUUUUGGAAGGUGCUUUUUAGUAUUACACUAGGCAUUCACUAGAAAACAAUAAGGAAAACUCACCGAACUCUGCCUCAAUUGAUCCACAAAAUCAUCUUUCAUUUCACAAUGGCAAGUCUAGUAAAGAAUCAUACAAAUUGAAUUAUUCAGGGUUAAGACAAUCAAUGCACAAUAGAUAUGACAUGAUGUGUUCAUGAUGGUCGUAGCGCAAGUCAGUGGUUUGUGAUAGAGUGCGGAAACCCGAGACAAAUCCUAUUAGUAGACCGCAACCCAUAAUGGUUCAACAAAGACCAUGCUACCAUCUCUCCAUACAGAUCUAAUGCGCAGUCUUGUAGAUAAUUAAUCUACAAGAAUUUGGAAACCUGAACUUUGCUAAAAAUGCUCAUGGCGACAAUUCCAAAUUGCCCAACAUGAAUGGCAUAACCCCAUCGGGAUUUGGACCCUAAGAGCGUCUAAAGCCGCAUAAACCCGCCUCAAACGCCCGAGCGGACGGUCCGGUCAGUGAACGGUAAAAAAAGAACCCAGAAGGGCGCCUCAAACGUCUGGGCUGACCGGCACCCCUCAUAUCCAGCCCAAAUACGGGGCGGAUAUGGGGAGUCCCGGGCACGUCCGCUAUGUCGGACUGACGAUGGGGUCCCACAGGAAAACACUCUGAAACCCGAUGGGUCCGAAACGCAUCUCUUCUGUUGGCGUGUGGCGCCGUUCCAGCGGGCUGCGUAAUGCCCUAGCCCGGCUAUUUAAGCGGACUGAUAGGCACUGAAACCCUACCCUUCCACAUUUCCCCCUCUUGUCUGCCGUUGCCACCACUUUCCAAUCGCCAUCCACCACCACUAGUAGACAUGCCCCCAGGCAGCCGGGUAAGGAGCUAGCCAUAUCUAACGCCAGAGCGCCGGCUGCAGCUCCUUGAGCAGACCCGCGCAAGGCGCAAAGCCCGGAUCAUGUCGGGGCUACAUCCGGACGCGGUGGAUCCGGAGGAGGACUUGGAGAAGGAGGUCGAAGUGGAGGAGGACCGGGAGGGCGUGGAGCAGGAGGAGGAACUGGAGGAGGAGCAUGAGAAGGAUGCUGGGGAUGCGGAUUUGCGGGCGGUCCUCGAUUCCCUUCGGUCGGAAUCAGCAGCGGAGGCGAAGCGCUGUCAUCUGUGGGAGGCGGAGGCGGAGCAGCAGGCUGACGUCGAUCAGAUGCUCACUUAUAUGGAUGAGGAGGAGGAGCUGGAGCCCUACUACACACCCAUCUACCCCAUGCUCGGCAUCAACACCAUGGACAUCUUCGAUGACGAAACGUAGUUAGGCUAGCGCGAUAUGCAUAGCACGUAGGAUUUCUUUUGCAUGUUUUGUAAGGAUUUAUGGGAUGAAAUAUGAGGUACUCGAAUGCAUAGCACCAAGUAUGAGGUGUGACCCGUUAGUGCCGACGGACGCGCCCGGUCGCGUCCGGGGGCGUUUGAGGGCCCGGAUUUGCCAACAAGUCCUGUUGUAGAUGCUCUAAGCUUUUGCUACAUCCCACCUAUCCAGUUUUCUAAACAUAUACUUCUGCAUAGUACUCCCUCCGUCCCUAAACGCUCUUAUAUUAUGGACCGGAGGGAGUAGUAAACUUAUAUCAUCAUAAAUAGUGCAUCAGGUUUUUCUUUUGGGGGGUCGAUAGUGUACCGGGUAAUUGUGGCAGAAGGACAUGACAGACACAAGUGGUGUAUUGUUUCGUAUUUCUCACAAUAACAACAUUUCUUACUGCCAUGCCAUUUGUACUUCGAUUUGUUUUUUGAAUUUUUAACAGAACGUUGAGUUUUAAAAUGUUUUUUCUUUGAAAAACAUGACCCUCACUAAGCAAGUCAGUAUACGUACAUCUGACUGAGACGAAACCAAAACCAAAAGCCAUGUUGUCCAUUUAUUGAGUGAUUUCCUGUCGGAAGACACUAGGCGUUCACAUAGUUCUAACAUUACUUGUGUGGCUGGCAAAUAUGAUAUUUCAGGUUGGUGUUAUGAGAAAGGGGAGCUCCUGCUUAUAUACGAGUAUAUGCCCAAUGGUAGCCUGGACCAGUACCUCUUUGAGGAAAACCCUCGGCUCCAGCGGCCCAUCUUAGGAUGGAAUACCCGGUACGACAUCAUCAUGGAUGUAGCCGUAGGGCUCCACUACGUGCAUCACGAGCACGAACACAUGGUGAUCCACCGCGACAUAAAAGCGAGCAACAUCAUGCUUGACUCUUCCUUUCAUGGCCGCCUCGGUGACUUUGGCCUUGCACGCAUCGUCAGUUUGAACAAGAACUCCUACACAGAUGUGGGUGUCGCUGGCACCUGGGGCUUCAUCGCGCCGGAGUACUCAGUCUGCCACAAGGCCACUCGCAAGACUGACGUCUAUGCCUUUGGGGUGCUAGUCCUCGAGAUUAUCACCGGGGAACGGGCACUUGCUGGGAACCAUGACCAUGAGACGCUUCAACCGCUCACUGACUGGGUCUGGUGGGUUCACCGGGAGGGAAGGUUGCUCCAUGCAGUGGACGACAAAGUCACUUCCACGCAAGAGUUUGAUCGCAAUGAUGCUACUCGCUUGUUGCUUCUUGGACUGGCAUGUAGCAACCCAAACCCAUCUGACCGACCAAGCAUGGCCGAGAUAGUGCAAGUGAUAGCCAAAUCGGUGCCGCCACCAGACGUACCGCUUGUGAAACCUACAUUCGUCUGGCCACCUGAAGGCGGGAUCCCCAUGGAAUUUGACGACAUGAUGGCAACGAGCAACCUCGACUGGGAGGACAUGUCUAGCAAUGAAGCCCUUGGGGCUAGCGUACCAUCAGAGGUGAAUAGGCGCAACGCUCGGGUUGGGCAUUCAAACACAGCUGGAUCAGCUGAGGAGUAUUAUGUGUAGUCGUGUAAGUUGAUUGUUGUGGUAAAUCUUGUGACAGGUCAAACUUAAAAGGAGGGACAGAAACCCUGACUGUUGUUGCUCUUGCUUGAUUAAAUGUUCGAGAGACUUUCUUGUACCAAAGUAUUUGCAAUUAGUGGUUUGAUUUGGUUCUACUUCGAAGGCCGGUGAUUUGGUUUCUUCUAGCUUCAUGCAUGGUUGGAAUGUGAAGGAAAUAUGCCCUAGAGGCAAUAAUAAAGGUAUUAUUUAUUUCCUUAUUUCAUGAUAAAUGUUUAUUAUUCAUGCUAGAAUUGUAUAACCAGAAACUUACUACAUGUGUGAAUACAUAGACAUACAUAGUAUCCCUAGUAUGCCUCUACUUGACUAGCUCGUUAAUCAAAGAUGGUUAUGUUUCCUAACCAUAGACAUGUGUUGUCAUAUGAUGAACGGGAUCACAUCAUUAGGAGAAUGACGUGAUGGACAAGACCCAUCCGUUAGCUUAGCAUUAUGAUCGUUAUAGUUUCAUUGCUAUUGCUUAAUUCAUGACUUAUACAUGUUCCUCAGACUAUGAGAUUAUGCAACUCCCGAAUACCGGAGGAACGCCUUGUGUGCUAUCAAACGUGUAGGACCUUGAAGUAUGUCUAGAGGGGGGGGCUGAUUAGACUACUUGACCAAUUAAAAACUUAACAUUUUCCCAAUUUUAGACUUUGGCAGAUUUUAGCUAUCUUUGCACAAGUCAAGCAAUCUUCACACAAUUCAAGCAAACAUGCAAAGAGUAUAUGAGCAGCGGAAAUUAAAGCAUGCAACUUUCAAGAAUGUAAAGGGAAGGGUUUGGAGAAUUCAAACGCAAUUGGAGACACGAAUAUUUUUAUCGUGGUUCCGAUAGGUGGUGCUAUCGUACAUCCACGUUGAUGGAGACUUCAACCCACAAAGGGUAACGGUUGCGCGAGUCCACGGAGGGCUCCACCCAAGAAGGGUCCACGAAGAAGCAACCUUGUCUAUCCCACCAUGGCCGUCGACUACGAAGGACUUGCCUCACUAGCGGUAGAUCUUCACGAAGUAGGCGAUCUCCUUGCCCUUACAAACUCCUUGGUUCAACUCCACAAUCUUGUCGGAGGCUCCCAAGUGACACCUAGCCAAUCUAGGAGACACCACUCUCCAAAAAGUAACAAAUGGUGCGUUGAUGAUGAACUCCUUGAUCUUGUGUUUCAAAUGAUAGUCUCCCCAACACUCAACUCUCUCUCAUAGGAUUUGGAUCUGGUGGAAAGCGGAUUUGAGUGGAAAGCAACUUGGGGAAGGCUAGAGAUCAACAUUCAUAUGGUAGGAAUGGAAUAUCUUGGCCUCAACACAUGAGUAGGUAGUUCUCUCUCAGAAAUGGUAAGUUAGAAGUGUAGGUUUGUUCUGAUGGCUCUCUCCACGAAUGAAGAGGAGGUGGAGGGGUAUAUAUAGCCUCCACUCAAAAUCUAACUGUUACACACAAUUUACCAAUUUCGGUGGGACCGAAUCAACAAACUCGGUCGGACCGAUUUAGUAAACCUAGUGGCCGUUAGUGAUUUCGGUGGGACCGACAUGCAACUCGGUGGGACCGAUAUGGUUAGGGUUAGGGCAUAACAUAAUCUCGGUGAGACCGAUUACACAAACUCGGUGAGACCGAUUUUGGUAAUUAGCUAACCAGAGAGUUGGUCAGGUAAACUCGGUGGGACCGAUUCGCUCUUUUCGGUGAGACCGAAAUGUUACGAAAGGGAAAGAGAGAGUUUACAUUGCAAUCUCGGUGGGACCGAUCGCUCACUUCGGUUAGACCGAAAUGUUACGAAGGGAAACAGAGAGAUUACAAUCCCAUCUCGGUGAGACCGAGAUCCCUAUCGGUGAGACCGAUUUGCCUAGGGUUUGUGGCAGUGGCUAUGACAUUUGAACUCGGUGGCGCCGGAUAGAAAGAAUCGGUGGGACCGAUUUUGACUUUAGGUUUAGGUCAUAUGUGGAUAUGAGAAACUAGUUGAGGGUUUUUGGAGCAUAUCACUAAGCACUUGAAGCAAGAGGCUCAUUAAGCAACACCUCAUCCCUCCUUGAUAGUAUUGGCUUUUCCUAUAGACUCAAUGUGAUCUUGGAUCACUAAAAUAUAAAAUAUAGAGUCUUGAGCUUUUGAGCUUGAGCCAAUCCUUUUGUCCUUAAUAUUUUGAGGGAUCCACUUUCAUCAUCCAUGCCAUGCCAUUCAUUAAGCGUUCCUGAAAUAUUUGUCUUGGAAUAGUAUUAGCUCAAUGAGCUAUAUGUUGAUAUGAAUUACCAAAACCACCUAGGGAUAGUUGCACUUUCAAAACGUCACAACGUAACUGGGUGAUUAUAAAUAUGCUCUAUAGGUGUCUCCGAAGGUGUUUGUUGAGUUGUCAUAGAUCGAGAUUAGGAUUUGUCACUCCGUGUUUCGGAGAGGUAUCUCUGGGCCCUCUCGGUAAUGCUCAUCACUAUAAGCCUUGCAAGCAAUGUGACUAAUGAGUUAGUUGCGGGAUGAAGUAUUACGGAACGAGUAAAAAGACUUUCCGGUAACGAGAUUAAACUAGGUAUGAUGAUACCAACGACCGAAUCUUGGGCCAGUAACAUACCGAUGACAAAGGGAACAACGUAUGUUGUUAUGCGGUUUGACCGAUAAAGAUCUUCGUAGAAUAUGUAGGAGCCAAUAUGAGCAUCCAGGUUCCGCUAUUGGUUAUUGACCAGAGAUAUGUCUCGAUCAUUUCUACAUAGUUCUCAAACCCGUAGGGUCCGCAAGCUUAACAUUCGAUGAUGAUUCGUAUUGUGAGUUAUGUGUUUUGAUGACCGAAGUUUGUUCGGAGUCCCGGAUGAGAUCAUGGACGUGAUGAGGAGUCUCGAAAUGGUCGAGACAUAAAUAUUGAUAUAUUUGAAGGCUAUAUUCGGACAUCAGAAAGGUUCCGAGUGAUUCGGGUAUUUUUCGGAGUACCGGGAGUUACGGGAAUUCACCGGUAGAAGUAAUGGGCCUUAUUGGGCCAUACGGGAAANNNNNNNNNNNNNNNNNNNNNNNNNNNNNNNNNNNNNNNNNNNNNNNNNNNNNNNNNNNNNNNNNNNNNNNNNNNNNNNNNNNNNNNNNNNNNNNNNNNNNNNNNNNNNNNNNNNNNNNNNNNNNNNNNNNNNNNNNNNNNNNNNNNNNNNNNNNNNNNNNNNNNNNNNNNNNNNNNNNNNNNNNNNNNNNNNNNNNNNNNNNNNNNNNNGAAUUGGACUAGGGGAAGGGGGCGGUGCCUGCCUUGCCCUUUCCUACUCCCUCUCUCUUUCCCUCUUUCCUUCUCCCCUACUCCGAAAAGGAAAAGGAUUCCUACUAGGACUUGGAAGUCCUAGUAGGACUCCAUACUCUUGGCGCGCCCCCCUAGGGCCGGCCUCCUCCUCCUCUCCCUCCUUUAUAUAUGGGGGCAGGGGGCACCCUAGAACACAUAAGUUUCUCUUAACCGUGUGUAGUGCCCCCUCCACAGUUACACACCUCGAUCAUACCAUCGUAGUGCUUAGGCGAAGCCCUGCACCGAUAACAUCAUCAUCACUGUCGCCACACCGUCGUGCUGACGGAACUCACCCUCGUCCUCAACUGGAUCAGGAGCACAAGGGACGUCAUCGAGCUGAACGUGUGCUGAACGCGGAGGUGCCGUACGUUCGGUACUUGGCCGGUUGGAUCGCGAAGAAGUUCGGCUACAUCAACCGUGUUAUUGAAACGCUUCCGCUUUCGGUCUACGAGGGUAAGUGGGCACACUCUCCCCUCUCGUUGCUAUGCAUCUCCUAGAUAGAUCUUGCGUGAUCGUUGGAAUUUUUUUGAAAUUACUGCGUUCCCCAUCAGAAUGUAUAGUGAAAAGAAAAGCUCCACGGUUUGUGUUGGUGUUCAUAACAAGUAGGCUUGUAGCCUACCUUGAGGGCCUAACCCUGGGUAAAUCCUCUUUAUGUUGGUUGCAAGUUUCAUUGGUUAGAUCCUUGUGCCCCCCACAAUUCCAUUUUCAUAAUUUCUUUUGCCCUAGUAUUCCACAAAAUAUCAAAAACAUAUAAAUGAAGUUCCUAAAAAUAUUUGCAGUAUUUGUAGUCGGUGUGAAUGCAUGUGUUGUCAACUAGGUGUACCUAAUUGCUCUGUUCAUUCCUGAAAAGAGAGCUGCAGCAUGGAGACAAACGAAAGCAGAGGAAAUGUUAGGCGGAAGUUCCUUGUUGUUAGUGAUUUCUUUGGAUAUGCAAAUAUGAUUUUAACCAUGGUUAGUAUAUUUUAUAACUCAUUGAAUAUUCAAGUGAUGACUUGUACUUUACAAGGAUUUUGAUUUCUUGCUGACUUGUACUUUGCAAAUUGCAAUGCUUUGAUUUGUAGGUCAGUGCUUCUUGUAAAAGAAAAGAUGCAUUAUUACAGAAGCAUAAUGAAAAGAUUGUGUGACAAUUAGAAAAUGGGGAGAUUCUUAAAGGAAGAGGCAAACAUCAAGAGACAACUUUAGCAAGACCUGGUGACACGUGAUGGGUAUCUCACCAUAGGACAUUGGUUCGGCUUUAUCAAAUGUGGGAUUCGGUGAUUCAAGUGCUACAUGCUAUUUCUCAUGAUGGGAAGUAUGCGGAUGAUAGAGGAAAAACAUCAGGUUUGAUGAAAUGUAUGGAGGUCUUUGAAUUUGUUCUGAUCUUACAUUUGAUGCUUAAAGUGCUUGGUUUGACUUGUCACAAGCAUUGCAACAAAAGGAUCAAAACAUAGUAAGUGCAAUGAACAUGAUUGUGUCUGUUAAAAGUUUAUUGCAACAGCUAAGGGAUGACGGAUGGGAGGCACUUUUGGCGGCUGCCACUUCAUUUUAUAUUAAAAGGGAGAUACCAGUUCCUAGUAUGGAUGAGAAUAUACCAGCAAGGGGUUACCCAAGGAGUUCCUGCAAAAUGGUUAGUUGCUUCCAUCACUACAAAGUUGAAAUAUUCAAUGAGGUUCUUGACAGAAACAUAGCUGAGAUGAAUAACCGGUUCAGUGAAACUUCAACAAGGUUAUUGAUAUGCAUUGCUAGUCUAGAUCCUAGAGACUCAUUUAGCAGGUUUAAUCAUGAGAACUUACUUGAGCUUACAUCUAUGUACUCAGUCGAGUUCGAUCCACAAGAACAAUAUCAUUUGGAUGGUCAGCUCAAGAUAUACAUUGAUAUGAUGAAAAGGUCUGAUGUUUUUGAGUUGUGGCAGUCUCGCUAAUCUUGCUCUCAAGUUGGUUGAAACUAAGGAACAUUUACACUUUCCUUUGGUUUACCGGCUCAUCACACUUUCUUUGACUUUGCUAGUAACGACGACAUCUAUUAAAAGAGUUUUCUCAACCAUGAAUAUCAUUAAGACAGAUUUGAGAAAUAAGAUAUCUGAUGAUUGGUUGAAUGAUAUGAUGAUAUGCUAUGUAGAGCGAGAUAUAUUUGCUGGAAUUGAUGACAAGAAGAUCAUAGAACAUUUUCACAGCUUGAGAGACCGUAGAGGCCAUCUACCAAACCCUCCGCGUAUACUUACGACUUAGGGUAAAUACUUUUGUUAUCUCUUUCAAACUAUUUGCUUACUUGUUCCAAUACAUGUAUUGAUAUCAGCUUGUUCACCUGUUGUAGGUAUCUAUUAGUCAUGGAGUUGGACAUUUUAGGCCAUGGAAUGAAUUAUUCAAGCAGCGGGAGUCCAAGUUAGUAGUUAUGUGUGACGUUUAUGUUAUAUUUUGUGAUUUUAGGUGGUUACAACCUAGUUCUCGAGAAUCUUGAACUGUUCUGAAUCAUUGGUUAUGUAAAUUUUCGAGUGCAUCUAGCUUCAUAUUUGAAUUUUAUGAGAUUUGGUUCAGUGGACUUGCAUUCGUCAAUCAAUUUUUUUGUACCUUCAAUGUUUCGCCUCGGCUAAGUUCAAUUCCUGGAUCCGCCACUGGGCGGAACCUGUCUGAUAGCUGCGAAGCCGUCUCCAAAAAUCGCUAUAUAAACUUGCCCACUAGUACUGGGCAUAAUUCGCUUUGGUCGUGUCAAACAAUUUCUUUUACAAAUUGGCGUACAGGAAUUCCUGAUGAAUUUUACAGACAUAAUGCAGAAGCCAUCGCAUUGCCUUGCCAAACAAAGGAUUUGAAUUACUCGUUCAUAGCCGGCCAUGAUCAGUUGUUCAUGUCAGACCAGUAUGUCACUCACAUCGACAACAUUCCUGGGGAAUUCGAUCAUCUGCUCCUGCUAAAAACAUUAUAGACCUUUAUUUCUGGGGCUGCCACCGGCGCCCUCAAGCCGGCGGCAGGGGGAGCGCGGCCACGGUCUUCUUCCAGGCGGGGCGGGCGGAGAUGUCGUCCCACCACGCCUGCACGUGCGGCCUGGCCGCGACCAGCUCCGCCGCCCGGGGCGUCCGGCUCAUGACGAACAGCUGCGCCAUGUGGUUCACAUCGGCGAGCGUGAACGCGUCGCCGGCGAGGUACCUGUUCCCGGCGGCGAGGUGCGCGUCGUAGACGUCGAGCACGUCGGCCACCUUGCGGGCGAGCCCGUCCACCACGGCCGGGUCGGGCGGCGCGCCGCCCGGCAGCCGGGGUCUGACGCGGAGCUCGUACACCAGGUCGGCCACGGCCGGGUAGAAGUGGUGCGACUCCACCUCCAGCCACACCUCCAGCUUCGCCGACGGCGUCGCCGGCAGCAGGUCCGUGCCCGAGGACCGGUACUUGGCCGCGAUGUACCUACUUAUGGCGCGAGACUCUGCACGCGAUCCCCAAAUCAGAGCAAAUUCGUGCAGUUGAUUAGCCGAAAAUGUUGCCAACUAACUCCGGCGAGUCUGAAAAUCUGGAUUUUUUUGGGGUGGGCGUACCGAAGAGGAUGUCGUCGCCGUCCUGGAACGCCGGGACCUGGCCCAAGGGCUGCACGGCGCAUGGAAACGAGGUAAAAAUUAGUGAACGAUCGCAUCGGCUGAUGAUCAGUAGCUGGGAAGUGCGUGGGCGGGCGUACGUACGUUGAUGGCGAGGAAGUCGGGCGCCUUGGUGUCGUCGACGACGACGAGCUCGUAGUCGAGCCCCUUCUCGUUGAGCAGCGCCGCGAUGCGCACCGAGUUGGACGACAGCGCGUACCCGUACAGCUUCCUUGUGCUCACCGCAGCCGCCGCCGCCGGCUCAGCCAUGGCGCCUGACACGAUGUGGCGACCGGCGAUAUCGACCGAAGACCGGAAGAGCUGCGCCGUCUGCGGAUCGAGCGCGGUAGGUGGCUUGCCGAGCAGACACCGAUCGCACCCCACCUAACGCUCAAUCAACUGAUUGGUUGGGUCUGCUCUGCUCUGCUCUGCAGGUGGCGCUAGUACUAGCAAGGAAGCAAGCGCACUUGGUUAAUUGUUAAUUCCUCAAAGUCGUCCCACGUAACGUGACAAUCCAUCCGCCCGGACAAAUGUUAUUUUCUUAACACAGUACAGAAGCUCAUACAUAAGUAUAUACACUCACUCCUAUAAACACACACCUGCACAUCUGUCUCCUUCCACUGAACGCACAUCAAUGAAAGGCCUGAAAUAUAUCCAGAAAAAUGUGAAUACUAAUGCCAAGUCCAGUGCUUGAAUCUUGACGGCUGGGGAUACCGCUCCUCCUGAACAACCAACCACAGGUUGGUUCGCCAUUCGGAUAAAUGCUAUGAGGGCGUGUGCAUAGUUUGGAAAACCGGUGGUCCAACCGAAAAAUCGAAACCGCCUAUCCGUCGGGAUUUUAAGCAACUAGAUGGGUAAAUAUCAAAUUAAUUCGGUGGUUUUCUGCGAAAAUCGGAAUAAAAUCAGGAUUUGACCAACUAUUAGUACUAUAUUAGGACAAUGGUCGUUUGUUGCAACGAAUAUAAAUAUCCUAGCACAUUAGCCUGUGAUUUACCUGCCGAUUGUAUAAAUAAAUAUUUAUCAAAUCAUAUAGUAAAUUAAAUUAUAAUUGAUUCAUCAGUUAAGUAAAUUAAGGUGAUUGAUUAUCGUACAGGAAAGGUGGACGAAGGGAUGGUGGGACGAAAACAGACACAUGAAACCUAAUAGAGAAGAUUAACUUAAUACUAACUAACUAAUUGUUUGUGAAUUGCAAUGGGUGCACAUAGUGGCUCAACAAUAAUUAUAUCUGACACAUGUUUUACACACAUCAUGUUCUAGAUUUUGAUAAUAUUCAAUUUGAUUUACAUAUGUGUAAGAAAUGCAAGGAAAAUUUUAAUUUAGUUGAUGAUUUGGUAAUAUUUGACUUGAUUUGGGUAUUCUUUUAUUUUUUGCGGGUGAUUUGAUUUGGUUAUUCGUAAGUGAAGGAAAGAAGAAUUUCGAUUUAGUUGUGAUUUUGGGAAAAUUUAUUUUGACUUGUUGAAUUAAUGCAGAAACUGAUUUUGAAAAAGUAUCAAUUCGGUUUAGAUUAUUUCAAGUUACUCUAUUUAUGUUGGUUUUAAUUUUAUGCAGCAUCAAUUGAGAGUAUCAAAAAAAUCAAUAGAAAACCAAGACGAGAGGGGGUCAUGGGAAUGUAAAAACAAGGAGGGGGUGACGAUCGUUACUCAAUAUUUUGUUAUUUUAUUAUUAGAAACCAGCAAAUGAACCGGUGAACAGACAGAUGAAAACCUAAACCAGCAGGGUCAUUGGUUUGUUUUUUUAAACCAUGGGCGUGUUGUAUGUCUCAGUUGAGGCCUCCGUUGGUAUGUAAAAAUCCUGUAGGAAAUUCAUAGGAUAGGAUUUUAAAAGAAAAGUUUCCUAUGUAGCUGUUUGAUUUAUAGGAAUGGAUACCUAUUUCUUUGUAGAAUAAGAACCAAUCCUUCAUAUUUUAAAAACCAAAAAACAUUUGCCUAGACUCAAUAAUUUUUUUCUAUACUAUGCAUCACAUGACAUCUCUUUCCUAUAAACCAAACAGCGGCCACAGGUGCGGCGGGAGGAGGUAUGAUCCUGCGGGAUGACAGAGGCGAGAUCAUCUACAACGCAUGUAGGGAACUACGUACAUGCGACAACGCUUUAGAGGCGGAGCUAGCAGCGUGCAGAGAAGGCUUGGAGCUGGCCUUGCACCGAUCUAACCUACCUAUUCUGGUUGAGUUGGAUAGCGCGGAGGCGGUGUCGAUGAUUACAGCGCGCGAGAUGGAUAGAUCGUCACAUCGUGCACUUAUAGAGGAGAUUCGUAGGUUGGCUGGAAACGAUGCUAGGGAGAUCUCUUUUACUCUUUGUAGCCGUCUGCAGAACGGGAUUAGUCAUGAGUUGGCCGCCUAUGGCCGUAGAACUCCGCGCACAGCAGUCUGGCUUACUGCCGGGAUGGACUUUGUUGUAAACCUGGCUCUCGCUGAGAAGCCUCCUUGAGUAAUGAGAACUUCUUUUUCCCUGCAAAAAAAAAGACAUCCCUUUCCUUAUAGAAAUUGAGAUGCAUGUCAUCUUAUUUUCUAUGAUUUUCUUAUUCGAUGGUAUUCAUAUCCUACGAACCAAAUGAGGGGAACAAACCCCCGACUCUCCUCGUGGUCUGCACUCUGUACUCCAUGGUCCAUCCACGCACACGCUCGUCAUGCCACGCGCCCGAUCGCAUGAGAUGGCCAGAUCGGGGUCCUGCCUGGUGCGAGUGCAUAUCUGGUGAUACGGUGGGUGAUAUGAUCCCAUGAUACCGAACCAUGUUGGCCGUUGGAUCUGUACUAGAGGCACAGGAUUGAGCAGCACCAGUUCGCAUUGGAAAGUAUGCCAAAGACCCCCCUGGGUUAUUCUAUAAUUCACGAAGGAAGUGCAAUCACUCUGUUUUGUUCCCUCUUCUUCGAUACGAUUCGUUCCCCACCGCCGCCGCCUAGAUCAAGUCAACCAUGGGAAAAUCCCACCGCAGCCGCCAACUAUGGGACUAGUCCCACCGUCGUGGGAUGUGGCGUCCCGCCACCGCCGGUUUCCAUAGCCGGUGUAUCUCUGCCGGCAGUUGUGCCGGUCCUAGCGGUCAAAGCUCAACCCGCAUCCUUCAAUUGUGGUGUUGCCUCCAAUGGCACGGCGGCCGCAGACUUGCCCCACUCCAAGUUUGACCGUGGCCCGUUCCUAAGGAAAUGCAACACAGAUCUGAGAAGUCAACCUGGUUUGUUCAUUCUCUAAUCUCAUAGCGUUCGGGCAAAACAUCUAAUUUUUGGAAUAUAAUAUUGUCUUGUGAAAUUUUCUCCACAACGUAGUCCUUAAUGAUUGUAGAAGGCUGCCAUGAAUGACUCUGCAAAUGUCUUGGUGUAUUUGGAUUCACACUAGCAAAAAAAAGGUUCUAAAAUAUGCAUAUUUUGCGGUGACAAUCUGCAAGUAAAAAAACAGUACCUAUCUCGCAAUCCUAAUAGGUUGUCACUAAGCCAUUGAUUUACAGAACUAAUGUACGUCACAAAGCUUUCUUCAUUAUCAUGGUGCAAGUUAGUGCCAUCUCAAUUUUCUGUCACUCCUGCAUGUAACGUGAGAUGUGUGUUAGUGUUAUAGCUGAUUGCCAGAAUAGUUAAGCUUCACUUUUUUUUAUAUGUUCAAGCGGUGUUACCAACUGAUAUCUAAAUAAUUUUUUGUAUAUUUCAGUUGCGCCAAGUAGCCCAUGAUGCAGUCGACGGAGAGCAUUGGUCAGAGCUGAUCGACUACUCCAAUUGUGCUUGAAGAUGAUGCCAAUAGCAUUUCACGGUACAUAAGUUGGUGCAUUCAAUAAUUGUGCCUUGUUAUAUGUACCAUAUCAUUUGUUUAUUUUUUCUGUACCAAAAUUUACCUUACAAUAUAUAUAUAUUUAAAUAUUACAUUUAACGAGGAUAUAUAACGAAAGAAAAUAGAUAAGAAGAAACCUAGUGUUUGAACAAAAAAACGAUGGGAACGUAGAAAUUUUACCUGCAUACUUGACGAAGAACGAAGAAGCAAUGUCUUGUGUAGCAUUAUUACAUAUGAGAAACAUGGUAGCCCUUGAAUGUACUCAAAGAAUAUUAGAAUCCUCUGGCUUGUAAGAAGAUAAGACAUUGUGAAACAAUGGGCUGAUGAAGAGCUUUCCGCUGCUAACUUUGUCAAAGGAAUUUGGGAUUGAAACUCCUUUCUUGUAAAUAGCUUUGACUGACAGUUAAAAUUACAGUUGCACCAAAUCAUAGCUAUUAUGGUGAUAAAGCGGGUGCUAUCAUUUAAUUAUUUCAUGGUUUGUACUAGGUCAAUAACUGAUUUUUUUACAUGGUCUUAUAAGGUCAAGAAACAUCAAAGUCGAUCAAGAGAGUUAGAUGGUGUGGCAUGCAUGACUGUCAUUUGGCAUCACAAAGGUGUUUAAACAUUGAAUGUAUUUAACGUUGGAGUAUGUUUUUCUAGGAAAAGAAUGUGUUGCUCUAAUUCUUUAUUUUGUCAUGUACUCCCUCUGUCCCGAAAGGUAAGACGUUUUUUAAUACGGACAACGCUACACCUACGUAAAUUCUUUUACGUAUCUUACGAAAAGGCUUAGGUGGAGAUAUUUGAUUGGAAAAGAAAAGGGAGGGGCCCCCACCCCCUGAAAAUCAGGGGGGGCUGAUUAGUUAGCGAUGGAAGGCUUACGUAGCUUUUCGUAAAGCCAUACGUAGGUCUAGCAUUUUUGUUUUAAUACUAUCAUAGUAUCAAAAAAUGUGCUGGAGGGAGUAGGUAUGAUUUUUUGUCCACCACCGGACGGCGCACAAGUACUCAUCAAGUGAUCUGGAGUGAAGUUGUUCCGUCUAGCCACGUAAAUCUGUGAGCUAUAUGGUACUGUUGUAAAUAUAUAGUAUUUUGUAAGGUCAUGCUAAUUCCAAGAAAAAGAAUUUUAUUUGUUGAAGUGGUUUUGUUUCUAGUGAUUUUUGGAUGCUGUGAAUGAAUGAAUGUGCCGUGUCUUGGAAAUGUAUGUUCCCAGUACUUUCAUGUGAUCAGAUAGAGCUCAUGACUAUUGUGUUCCCAGAAUUACAAAAAAAAAAAGAUAUUGUAUUCCCAAUGCCUUGCUAGAAGUCAUUCUUAUACUCCCUCCGUCCGAAAAUACUUGUCAUCAAAAUGGAUAAAAGAGGAUAUAUCUAGACGUAUUUUAGUUCUAGAUACAUCUAUUUUUAUCCAUUUUGAUGAUAAGUAUUUUUGGACGGAAGGAGUUGGAGAAAGUGAGCAAUGCAAACUGAAGGCAAUAGAUUUUCUUCUGCUUGUACUUGUCGAGAAGCUCAGUUUUUGGAAAGAUUUUGAGAAAAAGGCUUUCGUCCCGCUAUAUAGAUAUAGCAUCAGCAUCAACAGUAUCUCUUGGUCGCAUUAUAGCAAGUAAAUAUGUCAAAAAAACAAACUCUACAUGGGUACUUGCAGUGUCGUCCUAAUGAUUUGGUGUUAGUCUGAUUAAUCCAUGCUUAUUGGUUUGAUACAAACUAGAUCACCUGAUGUGUGCCAUGAGUCCAUGACCCACUAGGAUGCGGUGUUCAGGACAGGAGUUACUGGCGAGAACGUGAUAACUGUUGGUAUCUGAAGGAGAAAAGUGUAGAUCUGCUGUGAUUUUGCAAGGACAAACAAGGGGCUAUAUGUAAAUUUAUCAGUGAGUUGAUCAUGUCCCUUCGAUGCAGAUCCAAAGGACUACUCAAUCGUGGAGCAGGGUAUCAUGUGAACGACCGUAUCACUGGAUAUUUUCCCCCUGCCUGGUGCCCUUGGCCAUGUGUGCGCUCUGAACGUGGGUGGUUGGCAGCCCUGUCGUCGCCCUCAAUCUGUUCGACAGCUGCGACGCCAUUGCCCAGCUCCCGCUACAGCAAACACUCGGUACUGUACGGCACGGUGUGGUAGACAGAGGCGCGUAAUCAUUUUUUUACUGUAGAUCUCGCGCCACCGAAUGUGCUGACAAAGAAUUAAGGGCCGGACACCAACAAAGUUCAAGCCAAAAACUGGAUAAAUAGAUGCGCCAUAAACAUUCAACACCAAGAUUCAACAUUCAACAACAGCAGCAGCACCAAGAAUUCGAAGCUUCUUCUCUAAAAAGUAGUUUAUUCCAUCAUCGCGAUUUUAUUCCAUUCUCGCCGCAGCUAGGCAAGCAACCACCUCAGAGGCUCAGACGCCGGGCGGGAGGGGGAUGGAGGCGACGGUCUUGGCCCAGGCGGGGCGGGCGGAGAUCUCAUCCCACCAGGCCUUGACGUGCGGGCGGGAGGCCACCAGGUCCGCCUUGGGGCUCUUGGUGAGCAUGAAGAGGUAGGACAUGUGGUUGGCGUCGGCGAGCGUGAAGGCGUCGCCGGCCAGGUACUUGUUGCCGGCGGCGAGGUGGGCCUCGUAGACGUCGAGCAGCUUGGCGAGGUCGGCGGCGUUCUUGUCCACCUCGGCCGCGUCGGUUGGGGCGCCCAGCAUGGGCUUGAUGAGCAGCUCGUACACCAGCGUCCGCGCCGGCGGGUAGAAGUGGUGCGACUCCACCUCCAGCCACGCCUCCAGCUUGGCCGACGGCGUCGGAAGCAGGGCCGCCCCGUACUUGGUCGCGAUGUACCGGUUGAUGGCGCGCGACUCUGCAACCAAAUUCGUUGAUGAUUUGGGGGGGUUAAGCUCGAGCUCUGCUACACGCAAAACAAGAACAAAGAAUCUGAAGCUCUGCUGGACUGGUUAGUUGCUAGUAGAUCUGCUCUGUUGGUAAGAUUCUUACUUGCUUUGUUAUUGACCAAACCCUCACUCUUUUUUCAAUCUCAGAUCAGACAAAUUAUAAGCAUAUUCUACCUUCUCGAGAAAAAUAUAGUAUCCUAGAAGUUUGGAUAGAUCGGCGGAGGAUAAAAUAAAAUUUAAAGAGAGGAACAAGAUACAGUUACAGAGAGCCGUGUGUGGUCAGUGACUCGGUGUGGGUAAAUCCUGCUGAGAGAGACUGAGGUGCAUCUACCAGAACAGAUCUGAGUAAUUCUGUAAGAAGGAGAAGGAGCGGCAGAAUUGUUACCGAAGACAACUUCGUCCCCGUCCUGGAGCGCCGGGAUCUGCCCGAAAGGCUGCAAACAACCAACCAGAGCAGUG